GGCUUGUGUGUUUCAGUCAUAUAAGGUCGUGGUCUGAAGAAAGGGUGUGAUGGUUAGCGACUCCAGAAGUUCAUGCCUCUGACAAGUUUAACAUUGGCUGCUAUAGAAGCGAUGGAGAUCGCAAAUCUGCAGUCAGAGGAGUAUGGUUCUCGUUUUCUAUUUUUUCUUGUAGGCAGUCGUAGCAUGGAUGAUGGAUCCCGUGUUUAUAUGUCCAUGGUCUACAAUGAACUCCGUUGGCACAGCCAUAUGGUGAACUAUUGCUCAUUCAUCCCAUUUGUGGGACUGAAACUUGAAGUGAACUCUCUACCCGACUGGUGGUUACUCCCAGGCUUUACUGUCCCUGAUGCGCCCGGGAGCGCAUGUUGCAGAGAUUGACAGAGCAAUCGUCUCAGACGACAUAUGAGGUUUCCUCGGCACACCUUCAAGGAGUUUCCUCCACAUCUGAUUCUCCAGCAAAUGUGAUGUAUGAUCAGCUUCGCUUCGACCAGGGAAAAACAGAUAGGUUGUAACCGUUUCCGAAUUCGGUCCGAUGUUCCCGCUUUUCUGGUUUAUGCAUCAGUGGCGGCGACGACUGCUUCAGGGGAUGAGGCUUUAAUGUUGGUCCAUGGAACCAUUUGGUGUACUGAAUUGGGCAUGUUGACUCAUGCAUCUCCUUGGCCAUAGUUGCAAUUUGCAAAACCAAUACUGAUCUGCAAGUAUCUUCCCCCCCAAACUGGCUGCUCCUGCUAGUAUCUUAGACUGAAAUUGUAUUGUGCUAAAUGAUGUGUAAUGUGCUACUGUUCUUGAAUUCACAUGUACAGGGAAAACAUGGUAGAAUUGAACCACGUAGUCACGCUGAACUAAACUGAAUUGAAGAAAAGUCAUGCUGAAAUUAUGGUGUCUGCUUUAAAUCGUCUACUAUGAAACACUGAAGAAAUGGAAUGCUGUUAACCUGUGAUGUGGCUGUACUGUUGGGUGCAGAUGAUUUGAGUUUUACUAAAACCUGUCUCUUGAGCUGGGGGGACGACGAGCUCGGGCGUCCCUCGUCUCGCCGCCGCCGCCACGCGAUGCCCCCGCCCGGCAGCCGCGUCGCCGUCUACCUCCGCCGCGCGCGCCUCAUCGACUCCCUGCGCCUCCGCCUCCGCUCCCCUUCCUCCUCCCCGCCGCCGCCCCCACCCGACGACCCCGUGGUCGCGCUCCACGGCAUCCGCGCCGCGCCCACCCCGGCGGCGGCGCUCUCCUUCUUCCGCGCCCUCCCCUCGCCGGCCCCGCUCCCGCUCUUUCACGCGCUCGCCUCCCGCCUCGCCAACCCCGCGUCGCUCCCCGACCUCCGCUCCCUGCUCGCCUCCUUCCCCCUGCCCCCUCCCCCGCUCGUGCGCCUCCGCCUCCUCGCCGCCGCGGGGGACCGCCCUGCCGCCCUCGCCGCCUUCGCCUCCAUCCCGACCACCCCGCACCGCCCCGCCGAGGCGCACACCCUCGUCAUCAGCCUCCACGCCGGCGCGGGCGACCACGCCGCCGCCGUGGACGCGUUCGGCGCCAUGGUCCGCGAGGGCGCGCUCCCCAACGCGCGCACCUACACCGUCGUCGUCGCCCACCUCGCCUCCGCGGGGUUCGUCGACCAGGCGCUCGAGGUGUUCCGGCUCCUGCCGUCGCUGCGCACGCGGCGGACCACCCGGCAGUACAACGUGCUCGCCGAGGCGCUCGCGGAGGCCGGGAGGUUCGACCAGCUCCGGUGGCUGGUCCGCGAGAUGGCGGCCGUCGACGGCGUCAUGCCCGGGCCGCAGACGCGGGCCGCCAUCGCCGCCAUGAGGGAAGCCGGCCACACGGAGGGCACCCAGGACUUCGUCGAGGAGCUUUCGCCGGACGCGAGGAUCCCGUACGCCGUGGACGACGCGGACGGCGAGGGAGAAAGCGAGGAGGAAGAGGAUGGUGGCAAGGGCACGCCCAGAGCUAAGGAGACGCCGCUCAAGCCAUGGCUGGACCCGCGGGAGCUCGCCAGGGCGCUGGAAGGCUGGGACCCCAAGGAGGUGGCGGAGCUGGAGGCCGCCGGGAUCGUCUGGACGCCGCGGCUCGUGUGCAAGCUCCUGCGCGCGUUCAGGAAGCCGGGGACGGCGUGGGAGUUCUUCUGCUGGGUGGCGUGCCGCCCCGGCGGCUUCGCGCACGACCGCGACACCGUGGCGAGGAUGGCCGCCAUCCUCGCCCGCGCCGGCCGCGACGACCUGGUGGAGCGCCUGCUGGCCAAGGUGCGGGACGACGGCAUCCUCCUCCCGUUCGCCACCGUGCGACUAAUCGUCGACUUCUACGGGCUCUCCAAGAAUGCCGACGCGGCGGUGAGGGUGUUCCGGGAAGCCGACUCCAUCUGCGGCCCCGUGUCGCGGCCCAACCUCGCGCUGCUCUGCUCGUCGCUGCUGAGGACGAUGGCCAAGUGCCGGCGAGGGCGCGACGCCACGGAGCUCCUGGAGGAGAUGAUGGCCACGCGCGGCGUGCUCCCGGACCUGCAGACAUUCUCGGGGCUGAUGGAGCACCUGGCCGGCGCCGGCGACCUCCAGGGCGUGCACAGGCUGUUCGGGAUGGUGCGGCAGUGCGAGCUGCGGCCCGACGGGCACAUGUACGCCGUGCUGAUCAGGGCAUACUGCAAGCGGGAGCGCGCGGCGCUCGCGGUGAAGCUGUUCGACGAAAUGCGCGGCGCCGGGGUCGCGCCGGACGCGCCCACCAAGGCGCUGCUUGUGAAGAGCCUGUGGCGGGAGGGGAAACUCCGGGAGGCGGCGCUGGUCGAGGAGAGGUGCGAGGAGAUGAUCGCGGCGGACGGCGGCCUUCCUGGGGCGGCGCCGGGGCACGUGUGGACGGCGAGCGCCGCGGACUUGAACAAGGUGUAUGGCAUCUACUCCGGGUGCUUCAGGGAGCCUGAUGCAGAGCAGUUGGCGGCUGAUGCAGUCACUGGUUGAUGCUGCUCCACUUCGGACUUUAGAGUUGAGAUACCAAAUUGACAUGCUCGUGGCUGCUCGACGGAAGAGAUUGAUCCAACAGCACAGAAGUUUCAGUGUCAUUGCAGCUGAAGGAGAAGCAUGGCAGCAUCGAGAUAAUAAUCAUUAGAGCAUCUAUAUGUAUCCGAGGGAAAUUUUCAUGUUUGAGGAAUUAAGCCCCAUCUAGGAGAUCUCUCAAACUAAUAAUACCGCAGAAGCAGAAGUAUAGCUUUUUCAUCGGACGCGGCUAAUCUGCACCCGAGCUCCCGCAUGAAUAGUAAAAUCGAAAAAAAAUCAAAAAAAAUUCGGAUCGCUGGAGCUUGCAUACUUUGUUAGCUCCCUUUGGAUCGACAAAACCUUUUGGUUGCAUCAUAUACAACUCUUCUUCCAGAAAUCCAUUCAGAAAUGCAGUUUUGACAUCCAUCUGCCAAAUUUCAUAAUCAUAAAAUGCUGCAAUUGCUAACAUGAUUCUGACAGACUUAAGCAUCGCUAUGGGUGAGAAGGUCUCAUCGUAGUCAAUCCCUUGAACUUGCCGAAAACCUUUUGCGACAAGUCGAGCUUUGUAGACAGUAAUAUUACCGUCAGCGUCAGUCUUUUUCUUGAAGAUCCAUUUAUUCUCAAUUGCUUCAUCGGGCAAGUCAACCAAAGUCCAUACUUUGUUCUCAUACAUGGAUCCCAUCUCAGAUUUCAUGGCUUCAAGCCACUUUGCGGAAUCUGGGCUCACCAUCGCUUCUUCAUAGUUCGUAGGUUCAUUAUGAUCUAGUAGCAUGACUUUCAGAACAGGAUUACCGUACCACUCUGGCGCGGAUCUUACUCUGGUUGAUCUACGAGGUUCAGUAGUAUCUUGUUCUGAAGUUUCAUGAUCAUCAUCAUUAGCUUCCUCGCUAACUGGUGUAGGUGUCGCAGAAACAGUUUUCUGUGAUGUACUACUUUCCAAUAAGGGAGUAGGUACAGUUACCUCGUCAAGUUCUACUUUCCUCCCACUCACUUCUUUCGAGAGAAACUCUUUCUCCAGAAAGUUUCCGAUUUUAGCAACAAAAGUCUUGCCUUCGGAUCUGUGAUAGAAAGUGUAUCCAAUAUUUUCUUUAAGGUAUCCUAUGAAGACGCAUUUUUCCGAUUUGGGUUUAAGCUUAUCAGGAUGAAACUUUUUCACAUAAGCAUCACAACCCCAAACUUUAAAAAACGACAACUUUGGUUUCUUGCCAAACCACAGUUCAUAAGGCGUCGUCUCAACGGAUUUUGAUGGUGCCCUAUUUAACGUGAAUGCAGCUGUCUCUAAAGCGUAUCCCCAAAACGAUAGCGGUAAAUCAGUAAGAGACAUCAUAGAUCGCACCAUAUCUAGUAAAGUACGAUUACGACGUUCGGACACACCAUUACGCUGUGGUGUUCCGGGUGGCGUGAGUUGCGAAACUAUUCCACAAUUUUUCAAAUGUACACCAAACUCGUAACUCAAAUAUUCUCCUCCAUGAUCAGAUCGUAGAAACUUUAUUUUCUUGUUACGAUGAUUUUCAACUUCACUCUGAAAUUCUUUGAACUUUUCAAAUGUUUCAGACUUAUUUUUCAUUAAGUAGAUAUACCCAUAUCUGCUUAAAUCAUCUGUGAAGGUGAGAAAAUAACGAUAUUCGCCACGAGCCUCAAUAUUCAUCGGACCAUAUACAUCUGUAUGUAUGAUUUCCAACAAAUCUGUUGCUCUCUCCAUAGUACCGGAGAACGGCGUUUUUGUCAUCUUGCCCAUGAGGCACGGUUCACAAGUACCAAAUGAUUCAUAAUCAAGUGGUUUCAAAAGUCCAUCAGUAUGGAGUUUCUUCAUGCGCUUUACACCGAUAUGACCUAAACGGCAGUACCACAAAUAUGUUGCACUAUCAUUAUCAACUCUGCAUCUUUUGGUUUCAACAUUAUGAAUAUGUGUGUUACUACUAUCGAGAUUCAACAAGAAUAGACCACUCUUCAAGGGUGCAUGACCAUAAAAGAUAUUACUCAUAUAAAUAGAACAACCAUUAUUCUCUGAUUUAAGUGAAUAACCGUCUCGCAUCAAACAAGAUCCAGAUAUAAUGUUCAUGCUUAACGCUGGCACCAAAUAACAAUUAUUUAGGUCUAAUAUUAAUCCCGAAGGUAGAUGUAGAGGUAGCGUGCCGACUGUGAUCACAUCGACUUUGGAACCGUUUCCCACGCGCAUCGUCACCUCGUCCUUAACUAAUCUUCGCUUGAUCCGUAGUCCCUGUUUCGAGUUGCAAAUAUUAGCAACAGAACCAGUAUCAAAUACCCAGGUGCUACUGCGAGCAUUAGUAAGGUACACAUCAAUAGCAUGUAUAUCACAUAUACCUUUGUUCACCUUGCCAUCCUUCUUAUCCGCCAAAUACUUGGGGCAGUUCCGCUUCCAGUGACCAGUCUGCUUGCAAUAGAAGCACUCAGUUUCAGGCUUAGGUCCAGGUUUGGGUUUCUUCUCUUGAGUAGCAACUUGCUUGCCGUUCUUUUUGAAGUUCCCCUUCUUCUUCCCUCUGCCCUUUUUCUUGAAACUAGUGGUCUUGUUGACCAUCAACACUUGAUGCUCCUUCUUGAUUUCUACCUCCGCAGCUUUCAGCAUCGCGAAGAGCUCGGGAAUAGUCUUAUUCAUCCCUUGCAUAUUAUAGUUCAUCACGAAGCUCUUGUAGCUUGGUGGCAGUGAUUGGAGAAUUCUGUCAGUGACGCAAUCAUCUGGAAGAUUAACUCCCAGUUGAAUCAAGUGAUUAUUAUACCCAGACAUUUUGAGUACAUGCUCACUAACAGAACUGUUCUCCUCCAUCUUGCAGCUAUAGAACUUAUUGGAGACUUCAUAUCUCUCAAUCCGGGCAUUUGCUUGAAAUAUUAACUUCAACUCCUAGAACAUCUCAUAUGCUCCAUGACGUUCAAAAUGUCGUUGAAGUCCCGAUUCUAAGCCGUAAAGCAUGGCACACUGAACUAUCGAGUAGUCAUCAGCUUUGCUCUGCCAGACGUUCAUAACAUCCAGCGUUGCUCCUGCAGCAGGCCUGGCACCCAGCGGUGCUUCCAGGACGUAAUUCUUCUGUGCAGCAAUGAGGAUAAUCCUCAAGUUACGGACCCAGUCCGUGUAAUUGCUACCAUCAUCUUUCAACUUUGCUUUCUCAAGGAACGCAUUAAAAUUCAAUAGAACAACAGCACGAGCCAUCUAUCUACAAACAAGCAUAAACGAGCAAGAUACUUAUCAGGUACUAAGUUUCAUGAUAAAUUUAAGUUCAGUUAAUUUACUUAAAGAACUCCCACUUAGAUAGACAUCCCUCUAAUCCUCUAAGUGAUUACGUGAUCCAAAUCAACUAAACCAUGUCCGAUCAUCACGUGAGAUGGAGUAGUUUCAUUGGUGAACUUCAUUAUGUUGAUCAUAUCUACUAUAUGAUUCACGCUCGACCUUUCGGUCUCCGUGUUCCGAGGCCAUAUCUGUAUAUGCUUGGCUCGUCAAGUAUAACCUGAGUAUUCCGCGUGUGCAACUGUUUUGCACCCGUUGUAUUUGAACGUAGAACCUAUCACACCCGAUCAACACGUGGUGUCUCAGCACGAAGAACUUUCGCAACGGUGCAUACUCAGGGAGAACACUUCUUGAUAAUUAGUGAGAGAUCAUCUUAUAAUGCUACCGUCAAUCAAAGCAAGAUAAGAUGCAUAAAAGAUAAACAUCACAUGCAAUCAAUAUAAGUGAUAUGAUAUGGCCAUCAUCAUCUUGUGCUUGUGAUCUCCAUCUCCGAAGCACCGUCGUGAUCACCAUCGUCACCGGCGUGACACCUUGAUCUCCAUCGCAGCAUCGUUGUCGUCUCGCCAAGCUUGUGCUUCCACGACUAUCGCUACCGUUUAGUGAUAAAGUAAAGCAUUACAUCGCGAUUGCAUUGCAUACAAUAAAGUGACAACCAUAUGGCUCCUGCCAGUUGCCGAUAACUCGGUUACAAAACAUGAUCAUCUCAUACAAUAAAAAUCAGCAUCAUGUCUUGACCAUAUCACAUCACAACAUGCCCUGCAAAAACAAGUUAGACGUCCUUUACUUUGUUGUUGCAAGUUUUACGUGGCUGCUACGGGCUUAAGCAAGAACCAAUCUUACCUACGCAUCAAAACCACAACGAUAGUUUGUUAAGUUGGUGCUGUUUUAACCUUCGCAAGGACCGGGCGUAGCCACACUCAGUUCAACUAAUGUUGGAGAAACUGUCACCCACAAGCCACCUCUGUGCAAAGCACGUCGGGAGAACCGGUCUCGCGUAAGCGUACGCGUAAUGUCGGUCUGGGCCGCUUCAUCCAACAAUACCGCCGAACCAAAGUAUGACAUGCUGGUAAGCAGUAUGACUUAUAUCGCCCACAACUCACUUGUGUUCUACUCGUGCAUAUAACAUCAACAUAUGAAACCUAGGCUCGGAUGCCACUGUUGGGGAACGUAGUAAUUUCAAAAAAUUUCCUACGCACAUGCAAGAUCAUGUGAUGCAUAGCAACGAGAGGGGGGAGUGUGAUCUACAUACCUAGUAGAUCGACAACGGAAGCGUUUGGUUGAUGUAGUCGUACGUCUUCACGGCCCGACCGAUCAAGCACCGAAACUACGACACCUCCGAGUUUUAGCACACGUUCAGCUCGAUGAUGAUCCCCGGACUCCGAUCCAGCAAAGUGUCGGGGAAGAGUUCCGUUAGCACGACGGCGUGGUGACGAUCUUGAUGUACUACUGUUGCAGGGCUUCGCCUAAGCACUGCUACAAUAUUAUCGAGGACUAUGGUGGCAGGGGGCACCGCACACGGCUAAGGAAUAGAUCACGUGGAUCAACUUCUGUGUUCUAGGGUGCCUCUGCCUCAGUAUAUAACGGACCAAAAGGGGGGAGGCUGGCCAGCCACAUAGGGCGCGCCAGGAGAGUCCUACUCCCUCUGGGAGUAGGAUUCCCCCCCCCCCCCAAUCCUAGUUGGAAUAGGACUUGUGGAGGGGGGAAAAGAGAGAGAGGGGCCGGCCCCCUCUCCUUGUCCAAUUCGGACCAAGGAAGGGGAGGGGCGCGCGGCCCAUGUAGGGCUGCCUCUUCUCUUUUCCACUAAGGCCCAUCAUGGCCCAUUUAGCUCCCGGGGGUUCCGGUAACCUCCCGGUACUCCGGUAAAAUCCCGAUUUCACCCGGAACACUUCCGAUAUCCAAACAUAGGCUUCCAAUAUAUUAAUCUUUAUGUCUUGACCAUUUCGAGACUCCUCGUCAUGUCCGUGAUCACAUCCGGGACUCCGAACAACCUUCGGUACAUCAAAAUGCAUAAACUCAUAAUGUAACUGUCAUCGUAACCUUAAGCGUGCGGACCCUACGGGUUCAAGAACAAUGUAGACAGGACCGAGACAUGUCUCUAGUCAAUAACCAAUAGCGGGACCUGGAUGCCCAUAUUGGCUCCUACAUAUUCUACGAAGAUCUUUAUCGGUCAGACCGCAUAACAACAUACGUCGUUCCCUUUGUCAUCGGUAUGUUACUUGCCCGAGAUUCGAUCGUCGGUAUUCCAAUACCUAGUUCAAUCUCGUUGCCGGCAAGUCUCUUUACUCGUUCUGUAAUGCAUCAUCCCGCAACUAACUCAUUUAGUUGCAAUGCUUGCAAGGCUUAAGAGAUACCUCUCCGACAAUCGGAGUGACAAAACCUAAUCUCGAAAUACGCCAACCCAACAUGUACCUUUGGAGACACAUGUAGUACUCCUUUAUAAUCACCCAGUUACGUUGUGACGUUUGGUAGUACCCAAAGUGUUCCUCCGGUAAACGGGAGUUGCAUAAUCUCAUAGUUAUAGGAACAUGUAUAAGUCAUGAAGAAAGCAAUAGCAACAUACUAAACGAUCGGGUGCUAAGCUAAUGGAAUGGGUCAUGUAAAUCAGAUCAUUCUCUUAAUGAUGUGAUCCCGUUAAUCAAAUAACAACUCAUUGUUCAUGGUUAGGAAACAUAACCAUCUUUGAUUAAUGAGCUAGUCAAGUAGAGGCAUACUAGUGACACUUUGUUUGUCUAUGUAUUCACACAUGUAUUAUGUUUCCGGUUAAUACAAUUCUAGCAUGAAUAAUAAACAUUUAUCAUGAUUAUAAGGAAAUAAAUAAUAACUUUAUUAUUGCCUCUAGGGCAUAUUUCCUUCAAAAAUCUCAUCCUCGAGCGUGUGAGACGGUUCAUCAAAGCCGUGAUCGAGAUAUAUGGAUUAGAGUACAUGAGGGAUUCUACUGAUGAAGAUACCAAGAGGCUCGUGGCACAAAGUGAAGAGAGAGGUUGGCCAGGGAUGCUUGGAUCCAUUAAUUUAUGCAUUGCACAUGAAAUAAUUGUGUUGUGACAUUUCAAGGUCAGUGCAAAGGGUAAUGCUAUAAUCCAACCAUCAUUCUUUAAGUAGCUACAUCACAUGAUCUGUGGAUUUGGCUAUGGUACUUCGGGAUGUGUGACUCUCACAAUAAUCUCAAUGUCCUCAAGCAGUCUUUCUUCUUGCAAGACUUUUUUCGAUGAUGCUGCACAUUGCAACUAUGUUGCCAAUGGCUACGAGUACAACAUGAAAUACUACCUUGUUUAAAUUUCUACAUUUUAAGAGGCACUCCGAUGGAGGUGUGUAUCCAGCUUCUCCCUCAUCUCCGUAGACACAGAAGAUCUCCCCGACAAGAGCCGUGGUUAAAUUUCUACAUUUCAAGAGAUUGUGCAGCAAUGUGCACACAUCACAAUGAAAUAUGAUAGGUUUAAAAAAUGGGGGUAGCUAAUCAUUUCUUUGUUUAACUUUGAUUUUCUGGGCUAUUUUUUUUUAGAAAAGGAGGAGGAACCUCGGCCUCUACAUCUGGAUGAUGCAUGUAGCCACUUUGUUAAUUACUCACACAAGACCUUACAAAGUCAUACAAUAGUAAGACUAAAGCCACCGUCUAGGCAACAUCUGUCGCUAGUCCUAUCCUGUUGACGAACGAAUGCUGCUAGUCUGGGCCUAAUACCAAACAGACCUCACAGUCAAACCUAGCAUCUAAGAGCUGAUGUCCCAAUCAGGACGCCUGCCGGGUAUGGGGUGUUGGAAAUAUGCCCUAGAGGCAAUAAUAAAUUGGUUAUUAUUAUAUUUCCUUGUUCAUGAUAAUCGUUUAUUAUCCAUGCUAGAAUUGUAUUGAUAGGAAACUCAGAUACAUGUGUGGAUACAUAGACAACACCGUGUCCCUAGUAAGCCUCUAGUUGAUUAGCUCGUUGAUCAAUAGAUGGUUACGGUUUCUUGACCAUGGACAUUGGAUGUUGUUGAUAACAGGAUCACAUCAUUAGGAGAAUGAUGUGAUGGACAAGACCCAAUCCUAAGCCUAGCACAAAGAUCGUGUAGUUCGUAUGCUAAAGCUUUUCUAAUGCCAAGUAUCAUUUCCUUAGACCAUGAGAUUGUGCAACUCCCAGAUACCGUAGGAGUGCUUUGGGUGUGCCAAAUGUCACAACGUAACUGGGUGGCUAUAAAGGUUCACUACAUGUAUCUCCGAAAGUGUCUGUUGGGUUGGCACGAAUCGAGACUGGGAUUUGUCACUCUAUGUAAACGGAGAGGUAUCUCUGGGCCCACUCGGUAGGACAUCAUCAUAAUGUGCACAAUGUGACCAAGGAGUUGAUCACGGGAUGAUGUGUUAUGGAACGAAUAAAGAGACUUGCCGGUAACGAGAUUGAACAAGGUAUCGGAUACCGACGAUCGAAUCUCGGGCAAGUAUCGUACCGAUGGACAAAGGGAAUUGUAUACGAGAUUGAUUGAACCUUGACAUCGUGGUUCAUCCGAUGAAAUCAUCGUGGAGCAUGUGGGAGCCAACAUGGGUAUCCAGAUCCCGCUAUUGGUUAUUGACGGAGAGUUGUCCCGGCCAUGUCUGCAUGACUCCCGAGCCCGUAGGGUCUACACACUUAAGGUUCGAUGACGCUAGGGUUAUAGGGAAUAGAUGUACGUGGUUACUAAAUGUUGUUCGGAGUCCCGGAUGAGAUCACCGGAAUAAUUCGGGGGUUACCGGUAUUGUACCGGGACCACCGGAGGGGUUCCGGGGGUCCACCGGGAGGGUCCACCUGCCCCGGAGGGCCCUAUGGGCUGUAUGUGGAGAGGGACCAGCCCCUUAGUGGGCUGGGCGCCUCCCCCCUAGGGCCCAUGCGCCUAGGGUUUGGGGGAACCCUAAAGGGGGGCUCCCCCCUUGCCUUGGGGGGCAAGGCAACCCCCCUUGGCCGCCGCCCCCUCCUCAGAUUGGAUCUGAGGGGGCCGCCCCCUCUCCCUUGCCCCUAUAUAUAUAUGUGUGGGGUGGGAGGGCAGUCGCACCCAAGUCUUGGCGCAGCCCUCCCCCCUCUCCCAAGUCCUCCUCUUCUCCCGCGGUGCUUGGCGAAGCCCUGCAGGAUUGCCACGCUCCUCCUUCACCACCAUGCCGUCGUGCUGCUGCUGGAUGGAGUCUUCCCCAACCUCUCCUUCACCCCUUGCUGGAUCAAGGCGUAGGAGACGUCACCGGGCUGUACGUGUGUUGAACGCGGAGGCGCCGUCCGUUCGGCACUAGGAUCAUCGGUGAUUUGGAUCACGACGAGUAUGACUCCAUCAACCCCAUUCACUUGAACACUUCCGCUUAGCGAUCUACAAGGGUAUGUAGAUGCACCCCCUUCCCCUCGUUGCUAGAUUACUCCAUAGAUUGAUCUUGGUGAUGCGUAGAAAAUUUUAAAUUUCUGCUAUGAUCCCCAACAGUGGCAUCAUGAGCUAGGUCUAUGCGUAGUUUCUAUGCACGAGUAGAACACAAAGCAGUUGUGGGCAUGGAUAUUGUCAAUUUGCUUGCCGUUACUAGUCUUAUCUUGAUUCGGCGGCAUCAUGGGAUGAAGCGGCCCGGACCGACCUUACACGUACUCUUACAUGAGACUGGUUCCACCGACUGACAUGCACUAGUUGCAUAAGGUGGCUAGCGGGUGUCUAUCUCUCCCACUUUAGUCGGAUCGGAUUCGAUGAAAAGGGUCCUUAUGAAGGGUAAAUAGAAGUUGACAUAUCACGUUGUGGUUUUCGCGUAGGUAAGAAACGUUCUUGCUAGAAACCUAUAGCAGCCACGUAAAAACUUGCAACAACAAUUAGAGGACGUCUGACUUGUUUUUGCAGCAUAUGCCGUGUGAUGUGAUAUGGCCAAAAGGAUGUGAUGAAUGAUAUAUGUGAUGUAUGAGAUUGAUCAUGUUCUUGUAAUAGGAAUCACGACUUGCAUGUCGAUGAGUAUGACAACCGGCAGGAGCCAUAGGAGUUGUCUUAAUUUAUUUAUGACCUGCGUGUCAACUUAAACGUCAUGUAAUUACUUUACUUUAUUGCUAAAGCGUUAGCCAUAGUAGUAGAAGUAAUAGAUGACGAGACAACUUCAAGAAGACACGAUGAUGGAGAUCAUGGUGUCAUGCCGGUGACAACGAUGAUCAUGGAGCCCUGAAGAUGGAGAUCAAAAGGAGCAAAAUGAUAUUGGCCAUAUCAUGUCACUAUUUGAUUGCAUGUGAUGUUUAUCAUGUUCUACAUAUUAUUUGCUUAGAAUGAUGGUAGCUUAAAUAAGAUGAUCCCUCACUAAAAUUUCAAGAAAAGUGUUCCCCCAACUAUGCACCGUUGUGAAGGUUCAUCAUUUCGAAGCACCACGUGAUGAUCGGGUGUGAUAGAUUCUAACGUUCAAAUACAAUGGGUGUUGACGAGCCUAGCAUGUAUAGACAUGGCCUCGGGACACAUGCGAAACACUUAGGUUGACUUGACGAGCCUAGCAUGUACAGACAUGGCCUCGGAACACGGAAGACCGAAAGGUCAAACAUGAGUCGUAUAGAAGAUACGAUCAACAUGAGAUGUUCACCGUUGAUGACUAGUCCGUCUCACGUGAUGAUCGGACACGGCCUAGUCGAUUCGGAUCAUGUUUCACUUAGAUGACUAGAGGGAUGUCUAUCUUAGUGGGAGUUCAUUAGAUGAACUCAAUUAUCAUGAACAUAGUCUGAAUUGUCUUCACAAAUAUGUUGUAGAUAAAUAGCUCACUUGUAGCUCCCUGUUUCAAUACGUUCCUAGAGAAAGACCAAAUUGAAAGAUAUUGUAAGCAAUGAUGCGGACUAGGUCCGUAGUCCGAGGAGUGUCCUCACUGCUACACAGAAGGCUUACGUCCUUGAUGCACCGUUUGAUGUGCAAACCCCUACAACGUCGUCUGUGGAUGUUGUGAACACCUGACAGACACAUCCUGAUGACUACUUGAUAGUUUAGUGCACCAUACUUUACGGCUUAGAAUUGGGAUUCCAAUGAUGUUUUGAACGCCAUAGAACAUAUGAGAUGUUCCAAGAGCUGAAAUUGGGAUUUCAGGCUCAUGCCCGUGUUGAGAGGUGUGAGACCUCUGACAAGUUCUUUUGCCAACAAGAUGGAGGAUAAUAGCUCAGCUAGUGAGCAUGUGCUCAGAAUGUCUGGGUGCUACAAUCACUUAAAUCAAGUGGGAGUUAAACUUCUAGAUAAGAUAGUGAUUAAUAGAGUUCUCUAGCCACUAUCACUAAGCUACUAGAUCUUCGUGAUGAACUAUGACAUGCAAGGGAUGGAGUUAAUCCCGAAGCUAUUCACGGUGCUUAAGACCGCAAAAGGUAGAAAUCAAGAAGGAGCAUCAAGUGUUGAUGGUUUAACAAGACCGCUGGUUUCAAGAAGGGCAAGGGCCAGAAGGGAAACUUCAUGGAUGGCAAACCAGUUGCCGCUCCAGUGAAGGAACCCAAGGUUGAACCCGAACCCGAGACUAAGUGCUUCUAUUGUAAGGGGAACAAUCACUGGUAGCGGAAUUACCCCAAAUGCAUGGUAGAUAAGAAGGCUAGAACCUUCAACAAAGUAUAUACGUGUUAUUAAUGUGUACCUUACUAGUACUCCUGGUAGCACCUGGGUAUUGGAUAUCAGUUCAGUUGCUAUUAUUGGUGACUUGAAGCAAAAGCUACGGACUAAACGGAGACUGGCUAAGGGCGAGGUGACGAUGUGUGUUGGAAGUGUUUCCAAAGUUGAUGAGAUCACCAUCGCACGCUCCAUCUUCCUUUGGGAUAGGUAUUGAACCUAGAUAAAUGUUAUCAGGUGUCUACAUUGAGCAUGAAUAUGAUUAGAUCAUGUUCAUUGCAAUACGGUCAUUCAUUUAAGUUAGAGAAUAAUGGUUAUUCUGUUUACAUGAAUGAUACCUUUCAUGGUCAUGCACCCUAUGUGAAUGGUUCAUUGAAUCUCGGUCGUGGUAAUACACAUGUUCACGCCAAAAGAUGUAGAGUUAAUAAUGAUAGUACCACUUUCUCGUGGCACUACCGCUUAGGUCAUAUUGGCGUAAGAUGCAUGAAGAAACUCCAUGUCAAUGGAUGUUUGGAGUCACUUGAUUUUGAAUCACUUGACACAUGCGAGCCAUGCCUCAUGGGCAAGAUGACUAAGACCCCGUUUUCAGGUACAACGAAACGGGCAAGUGACUUGUUGGAAAUCAUACAUGCUGAUGCAUGUGAUCCAAUGAGAAUCGAAGCGUGCGGUGGAUAUCACUGUUUUCUCAUCUUCACUAACGAUUUGAGUAGAUAUAGGUAUAUUUACUUAAUGAAGCACAAGUCUGAAACGUUUGAAAAGUUCAAGCGAUUUCAGAGUGAAGUUAAGAAUCAUCAUAACAAAGAAGAUCAUGUUCCUAUGAUCUGAUCAAAAGGGGAUUUUCGGAGUUAUGAGUUUGGCAAUCACUUAAGACAUUGUGGAAUUGUUUCACAGUUGAAGCCACCUGGAACACCACAAGGUAAUGGUGUGUCCGGACGUUGUAAUCGAACCCUAUGAAAUAUGGUGCGAUCUAUGAUGUCUCUUACCAAUCUACCGUUUUCAUUUUGAGGUUAUGCGUUAGAGACAGCUGCAUUCACUUUAGAUAGGAUACCAUCUAAGUCUGUUGAGACGACGUCGUAAGAAUAUGGUUUGGCAAGAAACCAAAGUUGUCGUUUCAUAAUGUUUGGGGCUGCGAUGCUUAAGGCUUCAGCCGGAGAAAGCUCGAACCCAAAGCGGACAAACACAUCUUCAUAGGAUACCCAAGGGUGACAGUUGGGUAUACCUUCUAUCUCAGAUCCAAGGGCAAAUUGUUUGUCGCUAAGAACGGGUCCCUUCUCGAGAAGGAGUUUCUCUCGAAAGAAUUGAGUGGGAGGAAGAUAUAACUUGAUGAGGUUGUCGAACCUUUACUUCAACCAGAGAGUGACGCAACACAGAAAGAUGUUUUCUGUGGCGCCUACGUCUGUUGAAUAGGAAGUUAAUGAUAGUGAUCAUGAAGCUCCGGAUCAAGUUGCUAUCGAACCUCGUAGGUCGACAAGGAUAUGUACUACUCCUAAGUGGUACGGUAAUCCUGUCUUAGAUAUCAUGUUGUUAGACGACAAUGAACCUACGAUCUAUGGAGAAGCGAUGGUGGGCCCGUAUUCCGACAAAAGGUUAGAAGCCAUGAAAUCCGAGAUAGGAUCCAUAAAUCAGAACAAAGUAUGGACUUUGGUGGACUUGCCCGAUGAUCGGCAAGCCAUAGAGAUAAAUGGAUCUUUAAGAAGAAGACGGACGUGGGCAUAAUGUUACCGCCUAUGAAGCUCGACUUGUGGGAAAGAAUCUUUUCACAAGUUCAAGGAGUUGACUACGAUGAGAAUUUCUCACCCGUAGCGAUGCUUAAGUCCAUCGGAAUCAUGAUAGCAUUAGCUGUUUUUUUCGAUUAUGAAAUCUUACAGAUGGAUGUCAAAACAAGUUUUCUUACCAGUUUUCGUAAGAAAAGUUGUAUGUGAUACAAUAAAAGGUUUUGUCAAUCCUAAGGAUGCUAAAAGGUAUGCUGGCUCCAGCAAUCCUUCUAUGGACUAGAGCAAGCAUCUCGGAAUCGGAAUAUAUGUUUUGAUGGAGUGAUCAAAGCUUUUAGGUUUAUACAAUGUUUGCUAGAAACUUGUAUUUACAAGAAAGUGAGUGGGAGCACUACAACAUUUCUGAUAAGUAUAUGUGGAUGUCAUAUUGUUGAUCCAAAAUAAUGUAGAAUUUCUGGAAAGCAUAAAUGGUUGUUUGAAGAGUGUUUUUCAAAGGAAGACCUGGAUAAAGCUGCUUACAUAUUGGGCAUCAAGAUCUAUAGAGAUAGAUCAAGACGCCUGAUGGUACUUUCAAAGAACGCACACCUUGACAUGUUUAUGAAGGAGUUCAAAAUAGAUCAGUCAAAGAAGGGGUUCUUACCUGAGUUGUAAGGUGUGAAGUUGAGUAAGACUCAAAGCUUGACCAUGACAGAAGAAAGAGAAAGGACGAAGGUCAUCCCCUAUGCUUUUGGCAUAGGCUCUAUACGGUAUGCCAUGCUGAAGUACCGCACCUGAUGUGUGCCUUGCCACAUGUCUGGCAAGAGGGUACAAAGGUGAUCUAGGAGUAGAUCACCAGAUAGCGGUCAAAAUUAUCCUUAGAGGAAUAAGGAAAUGUUUCUCGGUUAUGGAGGUGAUAAAGAGUUCGACGUAAAGAGUUACGUCGAUGCAAGCUUAACACCUAUCCGGAUAGCGCUGAGUAGAGAUACCGGAUAUGUAUAAUGAAGCAAUAAUUUGGAAUAGCUCCAAGAGGAACGUGGUAGCAACAUCUAUGAUAUAAAGUUUUGUGAAAUACAUAGGGAUCUGAAUAUGGCAAGACCCGUUGACUACAACCUCUCUCACAAGCAUAACAUGAUCAAACCCAGAACUCUUUGAGUGUUUAUCACAUAGUGAUGUGAACUAGAUCAUUGAGUCUAGUAGACUCUUGGAUGUUGGUCACAUGGCGAUGUGACCUGUGAGUGUUAAUCACAUGACGAUGUGAACUGGAUUAUUGACUCUAGUGCAAGUGGGAGACUGUUGGAAAUAUGCCCUAGAGGCAAUAAUAAAUUGGUUAUUAUUAUAUUUCCUUGUUCAUGAUAAUCGUUUAUUAUCCAUGCUAGAAUUGUAUUGAUAGGAAACUCAGAUACAUGUGUGGAUACAUAGACAACACCAUGUCCCUAGUAAGCCUCUAGUUGACUAGCUCGUUGAUCAAUAGAUGGUUACGGUUUCCUGACCAUGGACAUUGGAUGUUGUUGAUAACGGGAUCACAUCAUUAGGAGAAUGAUGUGAUGGACAAGACCCAAUCCUAAGCCUAGCACAAAGAUCGUGUAGUUCGUAUGCUAAAGCUUUUCUAAUGUCAAGUAUCAUUUCCUUAGACCAUGAGAUUGUGCAACUCCCGGAUACCGUAGGAGUGCUUUGAGUGUGCCAAACGUCACAACGUAACUGUGUGGCUAUAAAGGUUCACUACAGGUAUCUCCGAAAGUGUCUGUUGGGUUGGCAUGAAUCGAGACUGGGAUUUGUCACUCCGUGUAAACGGAGAGGUAUCUCUGGGCCCACUCGGUAGGACAUCAUCAUAAUGUGCACAAUGUGACCAAGGAGUUGAUCACGGGAUGAUGUGUUACGGAACGAGUAAAGAGACUUGCCGGUAACGAGAUUGAACAAGGUAUCGGAUACCGAUGAUCGAAUCUCGGGCAAGUAUCGUAACGAUGGACAAAGGGAAUUGUAUACGGGAUUGAUUGAAUCCUUGACACCGUGCUUCAUCCGAUGAAAUCAUCGUGGAGCAUGUGGGAGCCAACAUGGGUAUCCAGAUCCCGCUGUUGGUUAUUGACCAGAGAGUUGUCUCGGCCAUGUCUGCAUGACUCCCGAGCCCGUAGGGUCUACACACUUAAGGUUCGAUGACGCUAGGGUUAUAGGGAAUAGAUGUACGUGGUUACCGAAUGUUGUUCGGAGUCCCGGAUGAGAUCCCGGACAUCACGAGGAGUUCCGGAAUGGUCCGGAGGUAAAGAUUUAUAUAUGGGAAGUCAUCAUACGGUCACCGGAAUAAUUCGGGGGUUACCGGUAUUGUACCGGGACCACCGGAGGGGUUCCGGGGGUCCACCGAGAGGGUCCACCUGCCCCGGAGGGCCCUAUGGGCUGUAUGUCGAGAGGGACCAGCCCCUUAGUGGGCUGGGCGCCUCCCCCUAGGGCCCAUGCGCCUAGGAUUUGGGGGAACCCUAAAGGGGGGCGCCCCCUUUGCCUUGGGGGGCAAGGCAACCCCCCUUGGCCGCCGCCCCCUCCUCACAUUGGAUCUGAGGCGGCCGGCCCCCCUCUCCCUUGCCCCUAUAUAUAUGUGGGGGGUGGGAGGGUAGCCGCACCCAAGUCUUGGCGCAGCCCUCCCCCCUCUCCCAAGUCCUCCUCUUCUCCCGCGGUGCUUGGCGAAGCCCUGCAGGAUUGCCACGCUCCUCCUUCACCACCAUGCCGUCGUGCUGUUGCUGGAUGGAGUCUUCCCCAACCUCUCCUUCACCCCUUGCUGGAUCAAGGCGUAGGAGACGUCACCGGGCUGUACGUGUGUUGAACGCGAAGGUGCCGUCCGUUCGGCACUAGGAUCAUCAGUGAUUUGGAUCACGACGAGUAUGACUCCAUCAACCCCAUUCACUUGAACGCUUCCGCUUAGCGAUCUACAAGGGUAUGUAGAUGCACUCCCCUUCCCCUCGUUGCUAGAUUACUCCAUAGAUUGAUCUUGGUGAUGCGUAGAAAAUUUUAAAUUUCUGCUACGAUCCCCAACAUGGGGCACCCACCAGUCCGGCGCACUCCUCAAUUAGGACGCUUGCCGGGUAUGAGGCCGCCGCAGCCACCUGCCACCAAUCCAUCAUCAGUGUUGUAUUGCUGCAUCUACCUUGCCCGCUCUAGCUGCCGUCAACGCCACCACGACGCCAGACAAUGUCACCAUCCUGCGCUCGUCCAUCAUCACACGCCCACAGGCGACCUCGCUGCUCUAUGCCGCUGAGACCCACCGUUGUCGACGUGCCAGAUGCCACGCCACUCCUCUGUCGCAAACACCACCUUCUGCCACCUGUCCCAUCCCCUCCGCCUGUAGUUCCUAUAACCGAGCACCCAAACGCCCCAGGUGGUGCCUCCAAGAAGGGUAAGACACACGCAGUGCCGCCGCCACCCAAUUUGCGUGCACAUAGCAUCAUUAUCCGCCUAUCCGCCCUGUAUUACUUUAUCCCAAUCGCCAAGACAAGCAUACUAAGCAGUGAACAACAGAUUAUCACCCAGCGAUCUGAAUUUCACUUCAUGCGCCAAGUCCCAUGGAAUUCUCGUCUAUUUGUAGAAUCAGGCCCAUCACCAUAAUAUUUGCCAAUAUGCAGCCUGAUCAACGCCAACCAGCAGGUAGCUUCAUGGUCGAGUGGAUGAUGGUUUCUCUUCGAUUGCUUCUGAUUCUUUGUAGAGAUGUCCUUGGGGAGGGUAUGUUGGACAUAUCCAUGACCCUACCCUAGGUACAUAGCUUCAUCAUUAGCCCCCGAAUGGAUCAGGGUUUGAGUGAGGAAGGAGUUGGGAACACUUCCGACUCAUUCUUUGUGCUAUGAGUAUAUCUUGUUCUGGAACAAUGAAUUGAGGAGACGACGUCGACUCCUUUUUCAGUCACCUUGGUCCAUUCUUGGUUUUGUCGAGUGAAUUUUCAUAGUAGAAUUCCGAAUGAUAAUGUAGAGGGCGUUUGUCUUCAGUCUGGCAAGUUGCUCUGCUCUCCGCGGAUUUCGCGGGAUUCGAAUUUUGGGAAGCGCGCCAGACGGGCGAGACCAUGGUAAUCGGGACGGAUUAGGCAAGUCUCCCCGAUCUUCGCGCCACCUUUUUCGCCACGUACUGCGCGCGUGACUGUUGCGGGAUUUGUUUAGAUCGUCUGGGUCCACCAGUCAGUCACUCGGGGAACGACCUUAUAAAAGGCACCGGACCAGGCCUCUGCCCCGUGCGCUCCCAUUCUCUUUUCUUCUUCCUCCGACCUCUCCGCCACGCUCGCUUUUGCUCUCAUCGCCGGACCCUUGCUCGAACUCAAUCCGUCGCCAUGGGGAAAGAGAAGACAGUGGCGCUGGAGCGCGCGAAGAAGGCGACCGCGAAGGCGAAGGGCAAGCGGACCAGCCGGGGCGGAUCCUCGUCGAGAUCCGGCCUGCCGCCGGGCUGGAUCCAGGGCGACUGGAUCCGCUCGACGAUCAGCCAGGACGACCUCGACGACCUGGUGGAGGGGGGGACUAAUCCCCCACAAGUCGGCAUGGCUCCCGGGGAACGAGAUCGAGCCGCAGCCAAGGGAGGGUGAGUGCGUUCUCCUCGCCACCCACGUAGAUCACGGAUUCUCACUGCCUCCCCAUCCUUUCUUCCGGGCCUUUUUGAACUUCUUUGGGGCUCAGCUCCACCAUUUCACUCCAAACACCAUAGUCUAUCUGGCUACUUUCGUGUCGAUGUGUGAAAAUUUCUUGGGCUGUCGGCCGCACUGGGGUCUUUUCAAACACAUCUUCACCUGCCGCUCCCAAUCGGUCAAAAAGGCCAAUCCGAGUGAUGAGAGGACGCAAGUGAUCCAGAUGUGCGGGGGCCUGGGGAUCCAGAUGAGGAGCAAGAGCACCUUCCCAGCAAUGAUCCUUCCCGACUCGGUCCGGGGCUGGCAGUCGACUUGGUUUUACUGCAAGGACCAGCCGACCCCGGGUCAGUUGACUGGACUUCCUCCCUUUUCUUUGGCUCAAGUGGAGAAGCCCGCCCCCUGAAGGUAGUUCCAGAAGAGAAGGCGCAUGUCAAGGUUCUGGUCGAGCGGGUCGUCCAACUCGUCCGCGACGGGGUGACCGGGAUGGACCUGCUGGAGGUCUUUCUCGAUCGACGCAUCGAACCGCUUCAGGCACGUGAUCAUCCGAUGUGGAUGUACUUGUUGGGGAACAUAGUAAUUUCAAAAAAAUUCCUACGCACACGCAAGAUCAUGGUGAUGCAUAGCAACGAGAGAGGAGAGUGUUGUCUAUGUACGCUCAUAGACCGAAAGCGGAAGCAUUAGCACAACGCGGUUGAUGUAGUCAUACGUCUUCACGGCCCGAUCGAUCAAGCACCGAAACUACGGCACCUCUGAGUUCUAGCACACGUUCAGCUCGAUGACGAUCCCCGGACUGUGAUCCAGCAGAAUGUCGGGGAAGAGUUCCGUCAGCACAACGACGUGGUGACGAUCUUGAUGUUCUACCGUCGCAGGGCUUCGCCUACGCACCGCUACAAUAUUAUCGAGGAUUAUGGUGGAGGGGGGCACCACCGCACACGGCUAAGAGAUCAAUGAUCAAUUGUUGUGUCUAUGGGGUGCCCCUGCCCCCGUAUAUAAAGGAGCAAGGGGGAGGAGGUGUGUCCAGGCAAGGGGCACGCCAGGAGGAGUCCUACUCCCACCGGGAGUAGGACUCCCCCCUUUCCAUGUUGGACUAGGACUUGGGGGAGGAAGGAGAGAAAGAGGGGAAAGGAAGGGGGGGGGGCGCCGCCCCCCUCCUUGUCCAAUUCGGACUUGGGGGGGGGGGAGGGGCGCACGGCUGCCCCUUGGCCUCCUCUCUACUUCCUCCACUAGGCCCAUUAAGGCCCAUUAGGUUACCGGGGGUUCCGGUAACCUCCCGGUACUCCGGUAAAAUGCCGAUUUCACCCGGAACACUUCCGAUGUCCAAACAUAGGCUUCCAAUAUAUCAAUCUUUUUGUCUCGACCAUUUCGAGACUCCUCGUAAUGUCCGUGAUCACAUCCGGGACUCCGAACAACCUUCGGUACAUCAAAACAUAUAAACUCAUAAUGAAACUGUCAUCGUAACGUUAAGCGUGCGGACCCUACGGGUUCGAGAACAAUGUAGACAUGAUCGAGACACGUCUCCGGUCAAUAACCAAUAGCGGAACCUGGAUGCUCAUAUUGGCUCCUACAUAUUCUACGAAGAUCUUUAUUGGCCAGACCGCAUAACAACAUACGUUGUUCCCUUUGUCAUCGGUAUCUUAAUACCUAGUUCAAUCUCGUUACUGGCAAGUCUCUUUACUCAUUCUGUAAUACAUCAUCCCGCAACUAACUCAUUAGCUGCAAUGCUUGCAAGGCUUAAGUGAUGUGCAUUACCGAGAGGGCCCAGAGAUACCUCUCCGACAAUCAGAGUGACAAAUCCUAAUCUCGAAAUACGCCAACCCAACAAGUACCUUCGGAGACACCUGUAGAGCACCUUUAUAAUCACCCAGUUACGUUGUGACGUUUGGUAGCACACAAAGUGUUCCUCCGGUAAACGGGAGUUGCAUAAUCUCAUAGUCAUAGGAACAUGUAUAUGUCAUGAAGAAAGCAAUAGCAACAAACUAAACGAUCAAGUGCUAUGCUAACGGAAUGGGUCAAGUCAAUCACAUCAUUCUCCUAAUGAUGUGAUCCCGUUAAUCAAAUGACAACUCAUGUCUAUGGUUAGGAAACAUAACCAUCUUUGAUCAACGAGCUAGUCAAGUAGAGGCAUACUAGUGACACUCUGUUUGUCUAUGUAUUCACACAUGUAUUAUGUUUCCGGUUAAUACAAUUCUAGCAUGAAUAAUAAACAUUUAUCAUGAUACAAGGAAAUAAAUAAUAACUUUAUUAUUGCCUCUAGGGCAUAUUUCCUUCAGUCUCCCACUUGCACUAGAGUCAAUAAUCUAGAUUACACAGUAAUGAUUCUAACACCCAUGGAGCCUUGGUGCUGAUCAUGUUUUGCUCGUGGAAGAGGCUUAGUCAGCGGGUCUGCAACAUUCAGAUCCGUAUGUAUCUUGCAAAUUUCUAAGUCUCCCACUUGGACUAAAUCCUGAAUGGAAUUGAAGCAUCUCUUGAUGUGCUUGGUUCUCUUGUGAAAUCUGGAUUCCUUUGCCAAGGCAAUUGCACCAGUAUUGUCAGAAAAGAUUUUCAUUGGACCCAAUGCACUAGGUAUGACACCUAGAUCGGAUAUGAACUCCUUCAUCCAGACUCCUUCAUUUGCUACUUCCAAAGCAGCUAUGUACUCUGCUUCACAUGUAGAUCCCGCCACGACGCUUUGUUUAGAACUGCACCAACUGACAGCUCCACCGUUUAACGUAAACACGUAUCUGGUUUGUGAUUUUGAAUCGUCCAGAUCAGUGUCAAAUCUUGCAUCAACGUAACCAUUUACGAUGAGCUCUUUGUCACCUCCAUAUACGAGAAACAUAUCCUUAGUUCUUUUCAGGUACUUCAGGAUGUUCUUGACCGCUGUCCAGUGAUCCACUCCUGGAUUACUUUGGUACCUCCCUGCUAGACUUAUAGCAAGGCACACAUCAGGUCUGGUACACAGCAUUGCAUACAUGAUAGAGCCUAUGGCUGAAGCAUAGGGAACAUCUUUCAUUUUCUCUCCAUCUCCUGCAGUGGUCGGACAUUGAGUCUUACUCAACUUCACACCUUGUAACACAUGCAAGAACCCUUUCUUUGCUUGAUCCAUUUUGAACUUCUUCAAAACUUUGUCAAGGUAUGUGCUUUGUGAAAGUCCAAUUAAGUGUCUUGAUCUAUCUCUAUAGAUCUUAAUGCCCAAUAUGUAAGCAGCUUCACCGAGGUCUUUCAUUGAAAAACUGUUAUUCAAGUAUCCCUUUAUGCUAUCCAGAAAUUCUAUAUUAUUUCCAAUCAAUAAUAUGUCAUCCACAUAUAAUAUCAGAAAUGCUACAGAGCUCUCACUCACUUUCUUGUAAAUACAGGCUUCUCCAAAAGUCUGUAUAAAACCAAAUGCUUUGAUCACACUAUCAAAGUGUUUAUUCCAACUCCGAGAGGCUUGCACCAGUCCAUAAAUGAAUCGCUGGAGCUUGCACACUUUGUUAGCUCCCUUUGGAUCGACAAAACCUUCUGGUUGCAUCAUAUACAACUCUUCUUCCAGAAAUCCAUUCAGGAAUGCAGUUUUGACCUCCAUCUUCCAAAUUUCAUAAUCAUAAAAUGCGACAAUUGCUAACAUGGUUCAGACAGACUUAAGCAUCGCUACGGGUGAGAAGGUCUCAUCAUAGUCAAUCCCUUGAACUUGUCAAAAACCUUUCGCAACAAGUCGAGCUUUGUAGACAGUAACAUUACCAUCAUCAUCAGUCUUCUUCUUGAAGAUCCAUUUAUUCUCAAUUACUUGCCGAUCAAUAGGCAAGUCAACCAAAGUCCAUACUUUGUUCUCAUACAUGGAUCCCAUCUCAGAUUUCAUGGCUUCUAGCCAUUUUGCGGAAUCUGGGCUCACCAUCGCUUCUUCAUAGUUCGUAGGUUCAUCAUGAUCUAAUAGCAUGACUUCUAGAACAGGAUUACCAUACCACUCUGGUGCGGAUCUUACUCUGGUUGAUCUACGAGGUUCGGUAGUAACUUGAUCUGAAGUUUCAUGAUCAUUAUCAUUAGCUUCCUCACUAAUUGGUGUAGGUGUUGCAGAAACCAUUUUCUGUGAUGAACCACUUUACAAUAAGGGAGCAGGUAUAGUUACCUCAUCAAGUUCUACUUUUCUCCCACUCACUUCUUUCGAGAGAAACUCCUUCUCUAGAAAAACUCUGAAUUUAGCAACAAAAGUUUUGCCUUCAGAUCUGUGAUAGAAGGUGUACCCAAUAGUAUCCUUUGGGUAUCCUAUGAAGGCACAUUUCUCCGAUUUGGGUUCGAGCUUAUCAGGUUGAAGCUUUUUCACAUAAGCAUCGCAGCCCCAAACUUUCAGAAACGACAACUUUGGUUUCUUGCCAAACCACAGUUCAUAAGGCGUCGUCUCAACGGAUUUCGAUGGUGUCCUAUUUAACGUGAAUGCAGCCGUAUCUAAAGCAUAACCCCAAAAUGAUAGCGGUAAAUCAGUAAGAUACAUCAUAGAUCGCACCAUAUCUAAUAAAGUACAAUUACGACAUUCAGACACACCAUUACGCUAUGGUGUUCCGGGUGGCGUGAGUUGCGAAAAUAUUCCGCAUUGUUUCAAAUGUAGACCAAACUCGUAACUCAAAUAUUCUCCUCCACGAUCAGAUCGUAGAAACUUUAUUUUCUUGUUACGAUGAUUUUCAACUUCACUCUAAAAUUCUUUGAACUUUUCAAAUGUUUCAGACUUAUGUUUCAUUAAGUAGAUAUACCCAUAUCUGCUUAAAUCAUGUGUGAAGGUGAGAAAAUAACGAUAUCCCCCACGAGCCUCAACAUUUAUUGGACCACAUUCAUCUGUAUGUAUGAUUUCCAACAAAUACGUUGCUCUCUCCAUAGUACCGGAGAACGGCGUUUUAGUCAUCUUACCCAUGAGGCACGGUUCGCAAGUACCAAGUGAUUCAUAAUCAAGUGGUUCCAAAAGUCCAUCAGUAUGGAGUUUCUUCAUGCGCUUUACACCGAUAUGACCUAAACGGCAGUGCCACAAAUAAGUUGCACUAUCAUUAUCAACUCUGCAUCUUUUGAUUUCAACAUUAUGAAUAUGUGUAUCACUACUAUCAAGAUUCAUCAAAAAUAGACCAUUCUUCAAGGGUGCAUGACCAUAAAAGAUAUUACUCAUAUAAAUAGAACAACCAUUAUUCUCUGAUUUAAAUGAAUAACCGUCUCGCAUCAAACAAGAUCCAGAUAUAAUGUUCAUGCUCAACGCUGGCACCAAAUAACAAUUAUUUAGGUCUAAUACUAAUCCCGAAGGUAGAUGUAGAGGUAGCAUGCCGACCGCGAUCACAUCGACUUUGGAACCAUUUCCCACGCGCAUCAUCACCUCGUCCUUAGCCAAUCUUCGCUUAAUCCGUAGCCCCUGUUUCGAGUUGCAAAUGUUAGCAACAGAACCAGUAUCAAAUACCCAGGUGCUACUGCGAGCAUUAGUAAGGUACACAUCAAUAACAUGUAUAUCACAUAUACCUUUGUUCACUUUGCCAUCCUUCUUAUCCGCCAAAUACUUGGGGUAGUUCCGCUUUCAGUAACCAGUCUGCUUGCAGUAGAAGCACUCAGUCUCAGGCUUAGGUCAAGACUUGGGUUUCUUCUCCUGAGCAGCAACUUGUUUUGCUGUUCUUCUUGAAGUUCCCCUUCUUCUCCCCUUUGCCCUUUUCUUGAAACUGGUGGUCUUAUUGACCAUCAACACUUGAUGCUCCUUCUUGAUUUCUACCUCCGCGGCUUUUAGCAUCGCGAAGAGCUCGGGAAUAGUCUUAUUCAUCCCUUGCAUAUUAUAGUUCAUCACGAAGCUUUUGUAGCUUGGUGGCAGUGAUUGAAGAACUCUGUCAAUGACACAAUCAACAGGAAGAUUAACCCCCAGUUGAGUCAAGUGAUUAUGAUACCCAGACAUUUUGAGUAUAUGUUCACUGACAGAACUAUUCUCCUCCAUCUUGCAGCUAUAGAACUUAUUGGAGACUUCAUAUCUCUCAAUCCGGGCAUUUGCUUGAAAUAUUAACUUCAACUCCUGGAACAUCUCAUAUGCUCCAUGACAUUCAAAAACGUUGUUGAAGACCCGGUUCUAAGCCGUAAAGCAUGGCACACUGAACUAUCGAGUAGUCAUCAGCUUUGCUCUGCCAGACGUUCAUAACAUCUGGUGUUGCUCCUGCAGCAGGCUUGGCACUUAGCGGUGCUUCCGGGACGUAAUUCUUCUGUGCAGCAAUGAGGAUAAUCCUGAAUUUAUGGACCCAGUCCGUGUAAUUGCUACCAUCAUCUUUCAACUUUGCUUUCUCAAGGAACGCAUUAAAAUUCAACGGAACAACAGCACGAGCCAUCUAUCUACAAUUAAACAUAGACAAGCAAGAUACUAUCAGGUACUAAGUUCAUGAUAAAUUUAGGUUCAAUUAAUCAUAUUACUUAAGAAUUCCCACUUAGAAAGAUAUCCCUCUAAUCCUCUAAGUGAUCACGUGAUCAAAAUCAACUAAACCAUGUCCGAUCAUCACGUGAGAUGGAGUAGUAUCAAUGGUGAACAUCAAUAUGUUGAUCAUAUCUACUAUAUGAAUCACGCUCGACCUUUCGGUCUCCGUGUUCCGAGGCCAUAUCUGUUAUAUGCUAGGAUCGUCAAGUUUAACCUGAGUAUUCCGCGUGUGCAACUGUUUUGCACCCGUUGUAUUUGAACGUAUAGCCUAUCACACUCGAUCAUCACGUGGUGUCUCAGCACGAAGAACUUUCACAACGGUGCAUACUCAGGGAGAACACUUAUACUUUGAUAAUUUAGUGAGGGAUCAUCUUAUAAUGCUACCGUCAAUCAAAGCAAGAUAAGAUGCAUAAAUGAUAAACAUCACAUGCAAUCAAUAUAAGUGAUAUGAUAUGGCCAUCAUCAUCUUGUACUUGUGAUCUCCAUCUCCGAAGUACCGUCAUGAUCACCAUCGUCACCGGCGCGACACCUUGAUAUCCAUCGUAGCAACGUUGUCGUCUCGCCAAUCUUAUGCUUCCACGACUAUCGCUAUCGCUUAGUGAUAAAGUAAAGCAUUACAGCGUGAUUGCAUUGCAUACAAUAAAGCGACAACCAUAUGGCUCCUGCCAGUUGCCAAUAACUCGGUUACAAAACAUGAUCAUCUCAUACAAUAAAAUUUAGCAUCAUGUCUUGACCAUAUCACAUCACAACAUGCCCUGCAAAAACAAGUUAGACAUCCUCUACUUUGUUGUUGCAAGUUUUACGUGGCUGCUACGGGCUUAGCAAGAACCGUUCUUACCUACGCAUCAAAACCACAACGAUAGUUUGUCAAGUUGUUGCUGUUUUAACCUUCGCAAGGAUCGGGCGUAGCCACACUUGGUUCAACUAAAGUUGGAGAAACUGACACCCGACAGCCACCUGUGUGCAAAGCACGUCGGUAGAACCAGUCUCGCGUAAGCGUACGCGUAAUGUCGGUCCGGGCCGCUUCAUCCAACAAUACCGCCGAACCAAAGUAUGACAUGCUGGUAAGCAGUAUGACUUAUAUCGCCCACAACUCACUUGUGUUCUACUCGGGCACAACAACAACGCAUAAAACCUAGGCUCUGAUACCACUGUUGGGGAACGUAGUAAUUUCAAAAAAAUUCCUACGCACACGCAAGAUCAUGGUGAUGCAUAGCAACGAGAGAGGAGAGUGUUGUCUACGUACCCUCGUAGACCGAAAGCGGAAGCGUUAGCACAACACGGUUGAUGUAGUCGUACGUCUUCACGACCCGACCGAUCAAGCACCGAAACUACGACACCUCCGAGUUCUAGCACACGUUCAGCUCGAUGACGAUCCCCGGACUCUGAUCCAGCAGAAUGUCGGGGAAGAGUUCCGUCAGCACGACAGCGUGGUGACGAUCUUGAUGUUCUACCGUCGCAGGGCUUCGCCUAAGCACCGCUAAAAUAUUAUCGAGGAUUGUGGUGGAGGGGGGCACCGCACACAGGUAAGAGAUCAAUGAUCAAUUGUUGUGUCUUUGGGGUGCCCCCCUGCCCCCGUAUAUAAAGGAGCAAGGGGGAGGAGGUGCGGCCAGGCAAGGGGCGCGCCAGGAGGAGUCCUACUCCCACCGGGUGUAGGACUCCCCCCUUUCCAUGUUGGACUAGGACUUGGGGGGGAAGGAGAGAAAGAGGGGAAAGGAAGGGGGGGCGCCCCCCUCCUUGUCCAAUUCGGACUUGGGGGGGGGGGAGGAGGAGGGGCGCACGGCUGCCCCUUGGCCUCCUCUCUACUUCCUCCACUAGGCCCAUUAAGGCCCAUUAGGUUACCAGGGGUUCCGGUAACCUCCCGGUACUCCGGUAAAAUGCCGAUUUCACCCGGAACACUUCCGAUGUCCAAACAUAGGCUUCCAAUAUAUCAAUCUUUAUGUCUCGACCAUUUCGAGACUCCUCGUCAUGUCCGUGAUCACAUCCGGGACUCCGAACAACCUUCGGUACAUCAAAACAUAUAAACUCAUAAUGAAACUGUCAUCGUAACGUUAAGCGUGCGGACCCUACGGGUUCGAGAGCAAUGUAGACAUGACCGAGACACGUCGCCGGUCUAUAACCAAUAGCGGAACCUGGAUGCUCAUAUUGGCUCCUACAUAUUCUAUGAAGAUCUUUAUCGGUCAGACCGCAUAACAACAUACGUUGUUCCCUUUGUCAUCGGUAUGUUACUUGCGCGAGAUUCGAUCGUCGGUAUCUUAAUACCUAGUUCAAUCUCGUUACCGGCAAGUCUCUUUACUCGUUCUGUAAUACAUCAUCCCGCAACUAAAUCAUUAGCUGCAAUGCUUGCAAGGCUUAAGUGAUGUGCAUUACCGAGAGGGCCCAGAGAUACCUCUCCGACAAUCGGAGUGACAAAUCCUAAUCUCGAAAUACGCCAACCCAACAAGUACCUUCGGAGACACCUAUAGAGCACCUUUAUAAUCACCUAGUUACGUUGUGACGUUUGGUAGCACAAAGUGUUCCUCCGGUAAACGGGAGUUGCAUAAUCUCAUAGUCAUAGGAACAUGUAUAAGUCAUGAAGAAAGCAAUAGCAACAAACUAAACGAUCAAGUGCUAUGCUAACGGAAUGGGUCAAGUCAAUCACAUCAUUCUCCUAAUGAUGUGAUCCCGUUAAUCAAAUGACAACUCAUGUCUAUGGUUAGGAAACAUAACCAUCUUUGAUCAAUGAGCUAGUCAAGUAGAGGCAUACUAGUGACACUCUGUUUGUCUAUGUAUUCACACAUGUAUUAUGUUUCCGGUUAAUACAAUUCUAGCAUGAAUAAUAAACAUUUAUCAUGAUACAAGGAAAUAAAUAAUAACUUUAUUAUUGCUUCUAGGGCAUAUUUCCUUCAGUACUCUGGGCUCGAGGAUUCCACUCGGAUCCACCCGGAGGACGUCAGUGAGGACACCUUGGAGAAGUGGCUGAUGGGGAUCACUAGCAACAAAGACAACCCCCGGGGGUCUAGGAGGGUGAUUCCAUUCGACCACUCACGUCAUCCGGAGCAGGUAUGAUUCUGUUUUAUCAAGUAUCUUUCCGAUUCACUGUGUGACAUCUUGUUGAUGGUCGACUGAAUUUCUUUUGAUCGUUGUCUUUUCAGGCCCUCAUCGACAUGUACUGAAUGUCCAACGGAGUGCAGGAGCAAGACAUCGAGGAAGGAGCGAGCGGGGGCGAGAGCGGCGAAGGGUACUCGGAUGCCGAGGAGGACGAGGAGAGCGACGAAUCGACUGAUGAUGAAGAGGUUGACUCGCCUCCUUGCAGGGAGAGGAUAUCCAAACACGCUCACGACCCGGCGAGCGCUCCGGGCCUGGUGGCCGCGCCGAUUGGGCAGUCUUCAAAGCGUCCCAGGACGUCUUCCCCAACGCCGAUUGAGAAGGCUCCGAAGCAGCCCAAAGUUGUGCCGCCUCCAGCACCGAAAGCACCAAAAGCCACCUCCGCCAAACUGCCAAAGGCUUUGCCUAGGAUCAAAGUGACCGUCCCUACUAUCUCCGGGUAAUCAUCUGACUUGUUCUUUUCGUCGACUCAAGUAACAGGAUGUAACUGACUGGAUGCGGGUCUUUGCAGUGCUGCUUCAUCAGGAACCUCUUCUCUCCAGUACCGAGACGAGGAGAUGGAAGACGCGGUUACCUCUAACCCAGGUAGAAACUCUUAUGAUCUUGAUCUUGAUUCCUUGGUCGAUUGCAUUCUAGUGGUUCACUUGGGGUCGAAUGAUCUGUCUUGCAGCUCCACCCAACAUCAUCGAUCUUCCAGAUGAAGAUGAAGAUGUGGCUCUUAAGCCCAGGAAGAGCAAGAAGGUAGCAGCUGGAAAGAUGUCUCAGCAAGGGCCAACAACAACACCACCCGUCCGUCAACCUGAAGACGCGGGCAGGGCCUCUGUAACCUUCACUGCACCCUUGUCGAGUGAGCACCCCGCACCGUCGACUGCACCUGUGAUUCCUUCAGUCGUCCAACUCCACGCCAUGGAGCUCCAAGCUGCCACACCUGGGUCGUCUGCUCUCUUUUUCACCAGCUACCCCGUCCCGGACAACCAGUCGCAAGCGGCUAUGGAAGCCAUCUGACAGGCUGACGUGAUGAUGGAGCGGGUGAAGACAGUACAUGAGAAUAGCCAGGCUGCCUACGAUGCCAGGCGCUGCUCUUCGGGCCAAUGUCCAGGUGAGUAGACUUUCCGACUGCUCUUGUUCUAUGAGGAUAUGCUACCCGAAUUUUUUUCUUCUACACAAUAUCCUGUUGUUUGCGUCGAAUCAGAGCACCCACUGGGUGUUUGUUGUCUUUGGUAGUUGUGUUCUUCCACUCGGUCUGGGCGAGUGGGAUCUGAACCGGUGGGGGCACGCUAAGUGCACCCACUGGGUGUAGUCCCCGAGACCGCGGUCGACUGCUGGCAGUCAACUGCGGUCUGAGUUCUACCUUCCUUUCUUUUUCUUUCCUUACACUCGACUCAGGCGGACCAGUCGAGUAGGAUCUGAACUGGUGGGGCACGCCAAGUGCACCCACUGGGUGUAGUCCCCAAGAUCGCAGUCGACUGCUGGCAGUCGACUGUGGUCUGAAUAACUUUUUUUUUGACUUGGUUCGGGCGGACCGGUCGAGUUGGGUCUUAAUCAGCGGGGGCACGCCAAGUGCACCCGCUGGGUGUAGCCCCCGAGACCGCAGUCGACUGUGUGCAGUCGGCUGGGGUCUAAGUGAACUUCUUUAGGUUUUAUUCACUCGGAAGUAAACAACCUUUGAUCUUAUCGACUGACCCGUCUUUUGCCUUGUGUAGAAGUCUUGUACUCUUAUUUCCAAGUUUGCUGAACUUGAGGAGAAGCAGAGCAACUCAACCUCGACUUGGAAUUGGCCCAGCAGAAUCUGAAGAAAGCUCAAGACGAAGCUGCUGGCAUGGAAGGUAACUGGCUGUCGACUGACUUUCAAUAUAUUUCUUUGAUCUCUUGUUUGAUUCGAUUGCUUCUUUUGCAGAGAAAAUGAAGUUGGCUCUGGAGUAGAAGGACUCGGACCUCGCCGCCGCGCAAAAAGCAGCCCAAGAUAAAACUGCUCUCGCAGACCAGAAGCUUGCUUCAGUCAGAACGCUGGAAGGGGAGGUGAACAAACUGAAAUCUUGCCUCAAUGAAGCUAACGUGAAGUGACUAGUCUGAAGAAGGACAAGUUUGCCCUGAAUGAAAAGCUGGAGUCCGCGAUCCGCAAGAGGAAUGACACGGAAGCUUAUCUGAGGACUCUUGCCAAGAAGCUCUAUCUCACGCUGGAAGGUAUUUCUUUUAAACCGACUGUGUUGAUGCUUGCGAUCGAUCUUGCUCGGUCGACUCACUAAUUUUUGGCUACAGAAUUCUGCCAAGACUUCGAUGAGGAAACUGGAAAGGUCGAGACGGGUCUGGACCCUCUCGCUUCUCCAGUUUGUGACGAAACUGCAAUGAACGUGCUCCGAUUGGAGUCCCGUAUCGCCAGCGCCACAAGCUACCUCGUGCGCCUGAAGGAGGUAGUCUCCCGAAUCAACUCAUCGCUUUGGCCGAGGGCGACGCUUAAAAAUGACCUGGAAUCCCUGAUGGCUCGACUUAACGAGAUCCCUGACCGAGUGCAAGAAUGGAAGAAGUCCUCCGCCCGGUGUGGUGCUGACGUGGCGCUGUCCUUGGUGCGAGUCCAUUGCAAGGAGGCUCGUGAAGACAAGCUUGCUGCGAUCAAAGUCGCUAACACCAAAAAGCAUGACUUCCAGUCCUUCAUGGAGACUUUCAUUGCUGCCGCUACUCGGAUCGCUGAUGGGAUCGACCUGGAAUCAUUCGUGGAGCCUGCCAGCCCUCCUCCUGCCGAGUGAACAAACUUAUGAGACUUGAAUCUGCUUUAAAUUUGCCUCGGAAUGCCGAGUGAUUGCUGUAACCGUUAAAAUCCUUUGGGCUUGAUGCCCGAAUACUUUUGAUUUGCUGCUUGGAACUUUAGGAUUUAUCCGAAUUUGGUUUAUCUCCGAAUGUGCUUGCGUUUUGCCUUCGAAUGGACUUUGUUCACUACUCGGAAUAGUCUUUGCGCUGGAGAUGCAGCUCUGAAGUGGUGACUCCAGUCGACCUGCGCUUCGUUGUCCUUGCGGAUAGGGAUGGAGCGCACGUUGUACUUGUGCCGUAGCUCCGAAGGAAAAGGUUGCAGUCGACCUGCACCUCGUCAUCCUUGCGGAUAUGUAUGGAGCGCACGUUGUACUUGUGCCGUAGCUCCGAAGGAGAAGGUUGCAGUCGACCUGCACCUCGGCGUCCUUGCGGAUAGGGAUGGAGCACAUGUUGUACUUGUGCCGUAACUCCGAAGGAGAAGGUUGCAGUCGACCUGCACCUCGUCGUCCUUGUGGAUAGGGAUGGAGUGUAUGUUGUACUUGUGCCGUAGCUCCGAAGGAGAAGGUUGCAGUCGACCUGCACCUCGUCGUCCUUGCGGAUAGGGAUGGAGCGUACAUUGUACUUGUGCCAUAGCUCCGAAGGAGAAGGUUGCAGUCGACCUGCACCUCGUCGUUCUUGCGGAUAGGGAUGGAGCGUACGUUGUACUUGUGCCGUAGCUCCGAAGGAGAAGGUUGCAGUCGACCUGCACCUCGUCGUCCUUGCGGAUAGGGGUAUGUUUCGAACUUAGGCGAGUACUGGACUGCAGCUAAGCCCCCGAGUGGGAUGAUUGCUCUCCACUCGGUAGGAUUUUUUCAAACUUAGGCGAGUAUUGGACUGCAGCUAAGCCUCCGAGUGAGAGAACUUAGGCGAGUACUGGACUGCAGCUAAGCCCCCGAGUGGGAGGAUUGCUCUCCACUCGGUAGGAUUUUUCAAACUUAGGCGAGUAUUGGACUGCAACUAAGCCUCCGAGUGAGAGAACUUAGGCGAGUGCUGGACUNNNNNNNNNNNNNNNNNNNNNNNNNNNNNNNNNNNNNNNNNNNNNNNNNNNNNNNNNNNNNNNNNNNNNNNNNNNNNNNNNNNNNNNNNNNNNNNNNNNNNNNNNNNNNNNNNNNNNNNNNNNNNNNNNNNNNNNNNNNNNNNNNNNNNNNNNNNNNNNNNNNNNNNNNNNNNNNNNNNNNNNNNNNNNNNNNNNNNNNNNNNNNNNNNNNNNNNNNNNNNNNNNNNNNNNNNNNNNNNNNNNNNNNNNNNNNNNNNNNNNNNNNNNNNNNNNNNNNNNNNNNNNNNNNNNNNNNNNNNNNNNNNNNNNNNNNNNNNNNNNNNNNNNNNNNNNNNNNNNNNNNNNNNNNNNNNNNNNNNNNNNNNNNNNNNNNNNNNNNNNNNNNNNNNNNNNNNNNNNNNNNNNNNNNNNNNNNNNNNNNNNNNNNNNNNNNNNNNNNNNNNNNNNNNNNNNNNNNNNNNNNNNNNNNNNNNNNNNNNNNNNNNNNNNNNNNNNNNNNNNNNNNNNNNNNNNNNNNNNNNNNNNNNNNNNNNNNNNNNNNNNNNNNNNNNNNNNNNNNNNNNNNNNNNNNNNNNNNNNNNNNNNNNNNNNNNNNNNNNNNNNNNNNNNNNNNNNNNNNNNNNNNNNNNNNNNNNNNNNNNNNNNNNNNNNNNNNNNNNNNNNNNNNNNNNNNNNNNNNNNNNNNNNNNNNNNNNNNNNNNNNNNNNNNNNNNNNNNNNNNNNNNNNNNNNNNNNUCAAACUUAGGCGAGUACUGGACUGCAGCUAAGCCUCUGAGUGAGAGAACUUAGGCGAGUGCUGGACUGCAGCUAAGCCCCCGAGUGGGAGGAUUGCUCUCCACUCGGUAGGAUUUUUCAAACUUAGGCGAGUACCAGACUGCAGCUAAGUCUUCGAGUGAGAGAACUUAGGCGAGUACUGGACUGCAGCUAAGCCCCCGAGUGGGAGGAUUGCUCUCCACUCAGUAGGAUUUUCUUUCGAACUUAGGCGAAACGUAUUCGCGACUAAGCCCACCCACUGGGGGAUUUCAGAAGUAAAUAAGAACAACAACAAUCGUAUGAGAGGACCGUAAGCUCUUGUCUUUGAUAAACAAAUUACAAAGGUGUUUCUUAUUACAUUUUAUUUGAACGAGUGCUUAAGUAUAAAAGGGGCAGAGCAACUCCGCGUUCCAAGCCCGUGGCUCGUCUUUCUGAUGCUCAACACUGUAAAGAUGGUAUGCUCCGUUGUGGAGAACUUUGGUGAUGAUGAAGGGGCCUUCCCAAGCCGGGGCGAGCUUGUGUGGUUUAUAUUGAUCCACUCGAAGAACCAGGUCUCCUUCUUGAAAGGCUCGACCCCUCACAUUUCUGGCAUGGAAUCGACACAAGUCUUGCUGAUAAAUGGUCGACCGGAUCAAGGUCAUCUCUCUUUCCUCCUCUAAGAGAUCGACUAAAUCUUGCUGGGCCUGCUCUGCUUCCUCUUCGGAGAAGAGCUCGACUCGGGGUGCAUUGUGGAGCAGGUCACUUGGCAGAACAGCUUCGGCUCCAUAGACUAAGAAGAAAGGAGUUUGUCCGGUCGACCGAUUAGGAGUUGUCCUUAAACCCCACAGAACUGACGGAAGUUCAUCAACCCAAGCGCCUGCUGCGUGUUUGAGAUCACGCAUCAGUCGGGGUUUCAGUCCUUUGAGAAUUAGGCCAUUGGCUCUUUCUGCUUGUCCAUUCGACUGUGGGUGAGCGACUGAAGCAUAGUCGACUCGUGUGCCUUGAGAAGCGCAGAAAGCUCUAAACUCAUCAGAAUCAAAGUUCGACCCGUUGUCCGUGUUGAUGCUGUGUGGAACUCCAUAUCUGAAUGUCAAUUCUCUGAUAAAACUGACAGCGGUGCUGGCCUCAAGGUUCUUGAUAGGUUUAGCUUCGAUCGAUUUGGUAAACUUGUCGACUGCAAUGAGCACAUGAGUGAAGCCGCUCCUGCCAGCUCUCAGUGGUCCAACCAUAUCCAGUCCCCAAACAGCAAAGGGCCAGAUGAGGGGGAUGGUCUUCAGGGCUGACGCUGGCUUGUGAGACAUGUCGGAGUAAAACCGGCAGCCUUCACAUCUGUCGACUAUAUCUUUCGCCAUUUCAUUUGCCCGUGGCCAAUAGAAUCUAGCUCGGUAUGCUUUACCCACGAUGGCCCGAGAGGACGCAUGGUGACCACAGGUUCUCGAGUGGAUGUCAUUGAGGAUCAUUCGACCUUCUUCUGGUGUUAUGCAUUUCUAUCCGACUCCAGUCACGCUUUCCCUGAACAGUUGUCCUCUUAUCACAGUAAGGGCCUUGGAUCGAAGGACGAUCUGUCGAGCCUCUUCCUCAUCCUCUGGGAGUUCUUUCCUAAGGAUGUACGCAAUGUAGGGCACUAUCCAGUCGGGAGUAAUGGCCAAAACCUCCAUGAUCAGGUCGACCACGGCUGGGACCUCGACUUCAGUCGGGUCUGUGGCGCUCUUAGGCUGCGGGGGCUCUUCAGUAAAAGGAUCUUCCUGAGCUGUCGGCGUGUGAAUAUGCUCCAAAAACACAUUGCUGGGAAUGGCUUCUCUCUUGGAACCUAUCUUUGCCAAGUCAUCGGCUGCUUGAUUUUUCAGUCGGGGUAUGUGAUGGAGCUCUAACCCCUCAAACUUCUUUUCCAGCUUCCUCACCGUGUUGCAGUAACCAGUCAUGGCUGGGCUUCUGAUGUCCCACUCCUUCAUCACUUGAUUGACUACCAAAUCUGAGUCGCCGUAGACCAUGAGGCGACGGACGCCGAGUGAAAUGGCCAUGUGCAACCCAUACAGGAGUGCUUCAUAUUCUGCUUCAUUGUUGGAGGAAUCAAAGUGAAUCUGGAGGACAUAUCUGAGCCUGUCUCCUCGGGGGGAUACCAGUACUACCCCAGCACCAGAACCAUUUAGCAUUUUGGAUCCUUCAAAGAACAUGGUCCAGUGCUCCGAGUGAACUUGAGUCGGUAGUUGUUGUUCGAUCCACUCGGCGAGGAAAUCUGCUAUUGCUUGGGACUUGAUAGCUAUCUUUGCCUCAAACUUGAUAUCCAAGGGAAGGAGUUCAAUCGCCCAUUUUGCCACUCGACCAGUUGCAUCUCUGUUGUGCAGAAUCUCUGACAAUGGAGCGUCGCUAACGACUGUAACAGAGUGAUCAAAGAAAUAGUGUGCAACCUUCUUCCUGGUCAUGUAAAUCCCAUAGACGAGCUUCUGAUAGUGCGGAUAUCUCUGCUUUGACGGAGUCAGGACUUCAGAAAUAUAAUAAACUGGGCGCUGAACUUUAUAAGCUUUUCCUUCUUCUUCGCUCGACCGUAAGUACUGUACUGACGACUUGUCCCGUGGUUGCUAUAUAAAGCAGUAAAGGCUCUUUGCUGAUUGGAGCAGCAAGCACCGGCUGGGUGGAAAGCAGGGCUUUUAGCUUUGCAAAUGCUGCAUCAGCUUCUGGGGUCCACUCGAACUUAUCUGAUUUCUUCAUCAGUCGGUAAAGAGGCAACACCUUUUCACCGAGGCGAGAAAUGAAUCGACUUAGGGCGGCCAAGCAACCAGUAAGCUUCUGGACAUCAUGCACACGCACAGGGCGUUUCAUUCGGAGUAUAGCACCCACUUUCUCUGGGUUAGCAUCGAUCCCUCGUUCGGAAACGAGGAAACUGACUAAUUUUCUGCCCAGAACUCCAAAUGUGCACUUUGAUGGAUUGAGCUUGAUAUCAUACCUUCUGAGGCUGGCAAAGGUUUCAGCAAGGUCAGUCAGUAGGUUGGAACCUUUACGUGACUUGACCACAAUGUCAUCCAUGUAUGCUUCCACAUUCCGACUGAUCUGAGUGAGCAGGCACUUCUGAAUCAUCUGCAUGAAUGUGGCUCGAGCGUUCUUCAAACCGAAUAGCAUUGUGACAUAACAGAAGCACCCAAACGAGGUGAUAAAAGCUGUCUUUAUCUCGUCGGGUCUGUACAGACGGAUUUGGUGGUACCCGGAGUAGGUGUCCAAAAAGGACAAACGCUCGCACCCUGCAGUCGAGUCGACUAUCUGGUCGAUGCGAGGGAGAGGAAAGUGAUCUUUCAGGCAGGCCCGAUUGAUAUGCUUGAAAUCAAUGCACAUGCGAAGUGAGUCGUCCUUCUUUGGGACCAUGACAACAUUGGCUAACCACUCAGAGUGGUAAAUCUCUCGGAUAAACUCAGCUGCCAAAAGCCGAGCCACCUCUUCACCGAUUGCCUUUCUCUUCUGUACGGCGGACCGUCGAAGAUGUUCUUUGACUGGUUUCACUUUUGGGUCGACUCGCAAACGAUGCUCAGCCAGUCCCCUGGGAACACCCGGCAUGUCAGAAGGCUUCCAUGCAAAGAUGUCCCAGUUCUCACGGAGGAUCUGGACGAGCGCUUCUUCCUAUUUGGAGUCGAGUGUGGUUGAAAUGUGAGUCGGAGCAGCAUUGGGGUCUGUCGGGUGAAUGUGAAUCGACUUCGUUUCACCAGACGACUGGAAUGCUAAAUCUGUGGCUGGCUUCUUGGCUCGCAACAAAUCACUCGGAUCUGCAUUUUUCUGGUAUUCUUGCAAUUCUACCACGGCCAUCUAAGCAUCGGCGAUCUUUGAGCCCUUCUGGAAGCACUCUUCUGCCUUCUUCCGAUUACCAAAGAUAGUGAUCACCCCUUUGGGACCAGGCAUCUUCAAUUUGAGAUACACGUAGCAUGGUUGAGCCAUAAACGUGCAUAAGCUGGCCUGCCCAGAAUGGCAUGAUAAGCACUCUGGAAAUCCACAACUUCAAAUGUCAACUUUUCUUUGCGGUAAUUCUUGGAAUCACCAAAAACCACGUCGAGAGCAAUCUGGCCGAGUGAUGCAGCCUUCUUGCCUGGAAUGACCCCAUGGAAACUCAUAUUGCUCUCGCUGAGUCUGGACAUCGGAAUGCCCAUUCCCUUCAACGUCUCUGCAUACAGUAUGUUCAGGCCGCUGCCACCGUCCAUCAGGACUUUUGUCAGUCGAGUGCCUUCGACCACCGGGUCGACCACAAGUGUUUGCCUCCCAGGGGUGGCUAUGUGCACUGGAUGAUCAGACUGGUCGAAUGUAAUGGCAGUAUGUGACCACUUGAAAUAACUGGGUGUCACCAGAGCGACCAUGUUCACUUCUCUAUUGAUGACUUUCAAUCGACUUUUGCUCUCAACGUCAGCAAAAAUUAUCAGAGUGGAAUUCACGUGGGGAUAACCAUCAUCAUCCCCUUCCUCAUCCUCAUCAUUGUCUGCUUCCUUCUCCUUUUCCUUGGGAUGUUUCUCUCGGAAUUGCUGGAUUAGGAGCCGACACUGCCGAGUGGUGUGCUUCGGGUAAAUGAAAUUACCCUCUUCAUCUUUUUUGGUGUGGAUGUGGCACGGCAGAUCCAACACGUCAUUUCCAUCUUGAUCUUUUACUUUCUUGGGGUUCCACGGCCCUUUGGGCUUCCCCUUGAACUUUCCUUGAACCACAGCCAAGGCUUCACCAGGAGCAGCUGGCUCGGCCUUGCGCUUCUAUUUCCGACCGGAGUUUCCUCCUCUGGCUUCAUGGGCGACUGCUUUGUGCUUGCCACUCCGGAGUCGUUCUUCUUCUUCACCGUUGGCAUACUUGGUGGCAAUCUCCAUCAUCUGAGCCAGAGUCAUAUCUCCUGUCCGGCCGAAUUUCAUAUUCAACUCCCGAUACCUGACACCUUCCUUAAAGGCACAAAUUGCCUGAUGAUCUGACACAUCCUCUACCAUGUGGUGUAGGGUGAUCCAUCUCUGGAUAUAAUCCCUCAAAGUUUCAUUCGGUUUCUGAACACAACACUGUAAUUCUGUCAAACCUGCCGGCCAUUUGCAAGUGCCCUCGAAUGUUCUGAUAAACACUCGGGCGAGAUCUUCCCAAGUAUAAAUACUGCUAGGCAUCAACUGAUUCAGCCAUGCUCUAGCCGAGCCCUCCAACAUCAGAGGAAGGUGUUUCAUGGCCACUUCAUCAUUGCCGCCACCAAUCUGGACAGCCACUCGGUAGUCUUCAAGCCAAGUGUCCGGCUUGGACUCACCAGUGAACUUACUGACUGCAGUCGCCAACCUGAAGUUGGGGGGAAUCACUGCAGCUCUGAUAGCUCUGCUGAAGCACUCUGGUCCUGAGACAUGCGCUCUGUUGCUGGUUUGCGGAUCCCUGUCCUGGCCCUCUCGGUGAGCUCUGUUUCUGUCGACCAAGCCCUAAACGAGAAUAGAUCUCGCAUCAAAGCCUGGCUCCCUGGGGUCGACUGGAAUACCUCGCCCAACACUGUGAGGGUGUCUGUCUUCAUGUUGCCGAGGCACGUACGACCCACUCCUUGGGGGAGGCGUGGGCACUCGACGACGAUCAUCGCGAUCGACUCGGUGAUCAUACUGUUCUCAGUUUCUGUACUGAUAUCGUCGAUCUCCACGUCCCUCACGCCUCGGGGGCGAUCUUGGGCUAUGGGCCGACUGAACUGUGUCUGCAACCACGGAUCUUCUAUGGAUCCUAUUCCGCGACUGAGAUACAACCAUAUUCUGUUCUCCUGCCGCCCGGAGCAAGGCCUGAAUCUGCACCAGACCUCGGCCAGCUUCUGACUGGGAGGGUUGGAUCGACUCCGCUAUCCGGGCAGCAGCUACUAGAUUCUGGAUCAGGGUUCAGUAUACCUGAGUCGGAGGAGGAAAAAAUUGGUGUCGACUGGAUUUGGGAGCGCGCUGCCGAGCGCGAUCAUCGAGUGAACGCUGGAGGUUCUCCAAUCGAGUGCGCUCUGCCAAGUUGGCCAAGCGCGCCUGCUCCAAGGCCUGGGCCUCAGGGGUUUCUCCAACUAUAGGAGUAUCCAGUGCAUCCAUGUUCCGGCGGUGAAGUUCCUCCCUCUGCUGCGAAGAGAGGGGUUCGGGGCGGUACUCUUCAUGAACGCGCGACGGAUCGCCGUUCCCGUCGUAGAGAGUUUCAUCGGGCUCGAUCGCCGCGACUUGAGGGGUGGCCGACCGGCGGGCCACCACAUGCCUCACCCACCGCUGAAGCCUCGACCGACCAGAGCAUUUGCUCCGGUGGGCCGCAGGGAGGGGGAAAGCUGCUGGAGUCGACUGAUACUGGGUCAACGGCUGCCGUAGGAGGACGCCGCGGACGCACACGCGGAAGUGCGUCGCCCCACGGGCGGGGAGCGCGUCGACGUCGAGUGGAGCCUCCUGAAGCCAAGCGGAGUCGUCGGCGACAAACACGAGCGCGCCGAGACGGAUCCCGCGGCCCUCAGCCAAACCUCCGCCUGAAACCAUGAUGAAGGGGAUCGGAAAAAUUGCAACUUCUCCAACAAGUCGCUAAGACACCUGCCCCAUGGUGGGCGCCAACUGUCGUGGUUCUAAGCCUGACAGUAGAAUAGGGGGGGUAGGAAUGUAGAGGCAAGAUCCUAGCUAUGGAGAAGUUGUACACGUGAGUUUUACGAGUUCAGGCCCUUCUCUGAGGAAGUAACAGCCCUACGUCUCAGAGCCCGGAGGCGGUCGACUGGAUAUAUGCGUGUGAAUUACAGAAAGUGUGGACCCUUGUCCGAGAGGAGGGGGUGGCUUAUAUAGAGUGCGCCAGGACCCCAGCUCCCCUCCGUUACACAGGGUUCAAUGUUCAUAAAGGAGGAGCGUUAUUGGUAACGUCUGAAGUAAAGUGCUAUAAAUGUCCAUAAAGCUAUGGUUUAAACCCCGACUGUUGCGGAGUGAAGGGCUUCUCAUCUUCUGGUGGUCGAGUGUCUUCAAGGUGGUCGAGUGAACACAUCUUCAUGGUCGAGUGGAUGAUGAUUUCUCUUCGACUGCUUCUGGUUCUUUAUAGAGAUGUCCUUGGGGAGGGUAUGUUGGACAGAUCCAUGACCCUACCCUAGGUACAUAGCUUCAUCAUCGAGGGAAAAAAUCGGUCCACACCCUGGCGCUAUGUCCGAAACACCCAACGAGUCACCACCAAGGCGGGCAACAUCGCGAGGUCGCCCCUUAGUCGUCCCGAGUAGGAGUCACCGGCGGGGACGAACAGAUUGGGGGUGGGAAAACUCUCGACGCCGGAAGGGCCUGCGCGAGGAUGAAAACCCUAGCGAGAGGGGAUACCAAAUCAGCAUUUUCCACAAUGACCCUUGGUAAAUUUUCACGAAUGAAAUGUUCUUAUGUGUGCUCACCCACAAGAAUUUAACGAAGUUCCCUCAUGGUACAUUCUUGAUUCCUAAUUGCGGGGAAAAUGCGAAAAGAAAACACAACUUUAUCAAGGGCUACGGGGGAACGAGCCAGAGACGAUAUGAACAUAUGACAUAUCAUAUUUUUAUAGAACACACAAAAAUUAAUUAUAAGAAGCCUACAUGGAUGCAAACAUCACCAAAACCCACACCACCCAAUACAAACUAUAGACCAUUCUCUGGCAACCGUUUUAAACCUACAAUGCCAAAGCCCGCUUGUUUCCAUUCGACAAUCUCGUCCAGAAUCUGCCUCGCUAGCUGACCAGGCACCCUUCACGUCAGCGGUGAAUGCAACAGUGGUCGAGCGAACGGAGUUGCACGUGUGUGCUGAACGCAACGAGCUCCUCGUGCGAUGCCAGAAUUGCAGUUUCGGAGAAGCAAUAAAGCCUUUCUACUACAUCGAAGGCGGUAAAGCACAUUAGAGCGUCUACAAUCGGAGGUUUCAUAUCCGUCACAAACGUCCGGACGGCCUGCCCAGUCACUACCCGAACAUGAUUUUGCCAAUAAUCCGACCGCCUCAAAGCAGCCCAAACAUUCGAGCUGUCUGGCACACCCUAUACCCUACCCAUAUGUGGGUGAAUAUGGAAGGCCUAGAUGCGCCGAACGCGUCCAUCUUGUAGGAUGUGGCCCGCUAUAGCUCGCCACAAAUACCCCACCAACAGAAGAAGCCCUAGUCAAAGUCCACACUCAAAUCGCUCUGCUUCACUCCACUUCACUCUUAGUCUUCUCCUCUUUGCCAUGGCCGGCUUCGGUAGUUCCUCUGGCAACAAGUCCGAUCCCAUCAACUGGGACGGGCUCUUGAAGAAGGACGACUCUGACAACGAGGCCGGAUGACGAGGAGCUUGCGCUCCACAUUGUCAUCGAGCGACUGCGGAUAGACAUUGGCGGGAGCUCAAGCUCUGCCCCGUUCGGGGUAGCCCGAUGACACAUUGCCAAGUGUCACGCACAGUCAUGGUCCGUGCCGGUCCGCCGGGAACACUACUCCCCUUUUCCCUUUGGUCCGAGCUCCUCCAGGGCAGUGUUGGGUGCUUGUGCCUCCACCAAGCCAGUGGAUGAGGAUGCCGGAGUCAGAGGCCAAAGCCGCCCGCCGUGAGAGGCAGCGGGCGGCGCAGAGGGCUGCGGAGCGGCUCCUCCUGCACACGCGCGAGAUCUACUCUUGUGGACCCGGAGGAGCAUGCCAUGCGCUAUGUCCUCCGUUGUUCGUUGACCACGACGCAGAAGAACGCGAGGCACUCUGGCACGUCAUCGAAGAGUCGGAGCGCCUCGCGAGGCAGAAGGAGACCGCCAAGGCCAAGGUGGCACGACAGCCCGAAGGAGCAAGCCCGCGUCGUCCGACGUCGCUUCGGCAUCUUCUCAUUGUCAUCAGACAGUGACACGAUGAGCACGGACCACGAUGAUGCACCUCCCGGCUAUGGACGCCUACACGGAGGACCACUACCUCCGCUCCGGUGACCGCAAGUUGAAGGGUCUGGCAAGGAAAUGGUGAUGUCCGUCACCCCAUUCCGUUGUAUUUAGUUAGAGCAUCUCCAACAGCCCCGCCAAAAGACGCGCGCGCGUGGUAAAGUGGCAUUUUAGCACGCGCGGGACGUUUUCGCGCGCUCCAGCGGAGGCGGGAAACUAGCGCGCGCGGGAAAAAGCGGCAGCUCGCGCGUUGUAUUUGGCGCACCGCGUCCGGCGCACCUAUAAAAUUGCAGCGCCUCUACCGCUCUCUCAUCGCUCCCUCGACCGCUUUCUCUUCUUGCCGCCGACACGCCACCAUCGCGCCACCAUGCCGCCUCACCGCCGGGGAGUUUCGGGCUACCGCGGCGUCUGCAUGCGUCCAUCCGGCACCUACUUCGUCGAGAUUCGGUCGGGCGACAUGCGCCUCGACCUCGGAACCUUCGACACCGCCCAGGAGGGCGCCCGCGCGUACGGCGCUGCAGCGUGGUGCGUCCGGCGGUCCUAUUAGGACAUGAACUUCACGGACGUGGCGACGCGGAAGCGGGCACAUGAGUUGGCGCCUCCCCCGCGGCUUAUCACCGACGAACUUCACGGACGUGGCGACACGGGACCGUGGACGAAGACAAACAAGAGUGACCUGUCACUGUGAGCCGGACACGUCCGCGAAUGUAUACGGAGCAUUUGGUAAUCGUGGUUGUGAUGUUGUAAACGCUUUUCAUCAUCCUACGGAGGGAUGCUCGCCAGAGUGCAGUCGCGGCGCGCCGACCCGGCGGCCUGCUCGCGGUGCAGGAUACGACUUCGCCUAUAAAAUCCCCGUCCCCGCCCUCCUCUACGAAACACAACCAACCACCAACCGCCCAACCAACGGCUUUUCUCCACCGCAGUCCGCAGCCAUGGACGCUCACCGCCACCGCCGCUCCCACGCGCACUCCCCUCCCCGCGUCAGGGACGCGCUACCUCGCGCGCAGCCACCCCCGCUCGGCGCCGUGGGCGCGCCACCUCGCCGCCAUCGCCGUCGCCGCUCCCACGCGCUCUCCCCUCCCCGCGUCGCGGACGCGCCACCUCGCGUGCAGCCACCCCCGCUCGGCGCCGUGGGCGCGCCACCUCGCCGCCAUCGCCGCCGCCCCUCCCACGCGCUCUCCCCUCCCCGCGUCGCGGACGCGCCACCUCGCGUGCAGCCACCCCCGCUCGGCGACGUGGGCGCGCCAGUGGCAGUCCCCCAUCGCCCCUCGCACGCGUUUGAGGCACCGCCACCGCCGUCAAGCCGCGGCGCAUCGUGCCCCCUCCUCCUCCGCGGCGGGCACCGCCGCGCGGAGCUCCGUGCAGGAGCGCGGCGGGCAGACGCUCGCCACGCGCCGCCUCCACGCUAUAGAGUGCCUGUGUUCCGCGGGACGCGCCUGCCGGCGGUGGCGUGGGCGCCGCUCGUCGGGGCAGACGGCUCGGUCUUCGGCCACGUCGACGUCGCGACCCUUGUCGCGGUCGGGGCGCUGCCGUCGCAGACCGCCCCGACGCGCCGCGUCCUCCUUCGCGUCCCCAUCCGCCUCUUCCCUGCCGAGGCGGGGCGCAAUGCCGCCGGGGGCGACGUCGUCUUCGCUCUCGUGCGGCUGGCACCCGCACCCGCAGGCGGGGGAGCGGCCGAGGAGCCGCGUGGCGGGGCUACAGGCACCGCGGAGCCCACGGUCGCCGCCCCUGGCCAGGCGGAGGCAGAGCUGCCACCCGCCGCCGCGGACGACAAGACGGAGGGCCCACCCGCAGCCACCGCCAGGGAGGACGAGCCCGAGGGCGGCGCCCUCCCAGCCGCAGCCAGAGCCGCGGAGGACGAGGACGAGGACGAGGACGAGGGCGGCGCCCUCCCACCAGCCGUCGCUGAGGGCGGGGAUCUUCCUGCCGCGGCGGAGGCCGCCAUCCUUCCUCGUGUCGAGGGGCUACGCGCGCAGGUCACCGACAUUUACGUGCAGAUGGUGGAGCGCCGCGCCCAGAUGCAGUCUAUGUUCGACCGGAUGGAGCUAGCGCGCGCAGGCGCGAGCCGAUGGGAACAGGAGGGCCCUGCAGACAAGGCACCAGAAGACAUGGAGAGAUCAGAAAGAGGCUGCUCGGCGAGUACGAGGAGUUGGAGGAACGUGCGCGUGAGGUGCGGCUCAAGAUUACUCUGGCCGGGGCAGCGCAGCCCAUCCCUCCACGCGAGCUCGAGUCAGACCCGCGUGAGUUCAUGAUCAAGUAAAACCAUAAUCUGUUUCUUGUGAAGAUGGGUUUCUUCAUGUCUAUGGCGUUCUCGGUUGCUUAUGAACAGUAAAUUGUCACUUUUCUAUGCCGUUUGCGCAAUUGGCCAGUGCUAAUACAUGUUUCUUAGUUGUUGUUUCACGGAUGAUAUUGUUUCCUUUGUUUCUCGUUUGUCAAUUUCUUACUACAAGGGCUAAUAUGGUUGUUGGGAUCAAAAACCUUGGGCAGUAAAACCCCCAAAUUGCGUUUCCCUGCUCACUUGGGAUCCCAUACAAACCACGGGAAAAUACCUGUUAUGUUCAUUUGUACACUAGAAGAGAGGAGGGAACUUGUAAUUUUUUUUAAAAAUGGGUCAUUAUAAUGAAAACUGACCACAAAUAACACCAUAUUUCUCAUAAUGUAAACUAUUCCAUUUUCCACAAGUCGAAGGUACAAAAUUAAUAUAGUAAUUUGAUUUUUUUUCUUCAGGAAAAUCGAAGUACACAAAUAAUUGGAAAAUCAACAGAAUAUUUGACUCACAUCAACACACGUGUACCAGUCUUACAUGUCAAGUAUAGUAUGCUAAUUAUGCUUCAAAACUGAAAAUGCUAAUUAUAAUUACAAGUCCAGAAAGAUACUACAAUAUUAGUAUGUUCCUUCUAAAAAACCGCAGUUAUGUUAACUGUCAAUCUAAACUGGGAAUAACUUCCGUCAACUUCUUGAACAUCUCCAUUGACUUGCGGCAAGGAACCUGCGGAGAAAGAUGUAUUGAAAGAAUGAUCCCCCAGGCACAUAUACAAACUCAAGGUAAAUCGACCAUGGAAAGAUGCAACUAGUUAUACCAGUUCGACUUGACCUUUUUAUAUUAGUGGUUGUCUACUGUCACACACUGCAAACGAAUACAUCGAUCACCGGCUAGUUGGAUGGGGAGUGACUACAAUAGAAAACGCACUUGUGGUACAAAAAUAGAAAAAAUCAUCCUGGACCGUCGGAUCCAACAUGGAUGACCCAUAUUCUAGUGAGGGAUCUGUGCGCUCAUCUUUACAAAAUAGUCCCUUAUUUCCAAUUAUUUUGCUCCUGAUCUCCUCUUAUUUUCUACCGGUCAUCUCCUUCCACAUCGAACCGCGGCGGAUGAGGUCCAACAAAUCCCCAACCAUAAUGGCUUGCCAAUGGCGACGGCGGUGUAGAUCUUGUACCUAGAUGGGCGACCUUGGCUACUCGAGGAAGCUUUCCAUCUCUGCCCCUAGAUGUACCUAGCUGGACGGCCUUGGCUAUUGGAGGAAUCUUGAUCGUCUCGUCGCCGGUGGUCGGGCUGCCCGGGCGGACCUCUCCUCUGCUGCGCCGCGACGCUGGCCGAGCCAAUCUCCAGGUACAGUUCCCCAAACGCCAAGGACAACCUCGAUCUACCAUUUGUCUUACCCCAUUGCAAUCGACAAGAUCUGCGGGUACUGUAUUCGGCGGCUGGUACUGCUCUAGUGCUACAGAUUUGCAGGCAUCAUUGCCACUGCAACAAACUGAACUCCCUGUAUCUAUGUCUCAGUAGCUUAACUCAACAAGGCUCCCCUCCCAGAUUUGUCACAUAAGAAUCAGCCAGAUAACCCUUUUUCUUGUUCAAUUGUACUAGUAGAAGGCACCACGUGCAAUUCAUGAUUUCUACCCUCGCUUACUCUUUAUUUGAAAAGAUAUGGCUUAUUCAGACGCUGCCAACGUUGCAUACUACAAUUCUUUUCAGUGAUAUAAAUUCCUGUUGAAGAUGUACACAACUUUAUUGUCCAAUCCGUUGGAAGUUCAGUGUAGAUAUGUUUUUUUUGCGGUGCCGAUGCGAUUGAUUUGCUAAAGUACUGGUUGUUUACCCGCUGAUUUGUGAGGGUUAAUUAUAGUCCGAUCCUCCAAUCAUUGAGAGCAGUGAAGUUCAGAAUAGCCACAACAGAUUUUAAAUAGCACACUUUUGCACAAGAACAAACCCAUUGAUAUUGUGAGUGAGAGCAUUUGGAGCCGCGAGGAUUCCAGAAAGGUCGCACAGUUGUUUUGGCACGUGUCCGUACAGAGUGAAUCCGAGUGAAUCCCAUAAAUGUUAGCUGUUGGAUCACUUGGGUUGCGUACUGGCGGACGAUGGAUAUUCAUCGUCUGGAACAAACCAAUGGCGUAUAAUUGCUCACGAGUCUUGGUAGAUAGCUAAAUCACAAGAGUAUUUUCUGGAGACCCCUUGCACAUGUGAUGGAAUGUAGAUGAAAAGAGCAUCAAAACUAAUAGACUGGAGUAUCAUUUUUGCGAAUAAAAGAUCAUUCAAUGGGUAACUAUCUUCCAAUUGGAUAUAUAGGUGUUUUUUCUUAUUCCCAGUCAGCUUGCUAUAUUUUGCUUGGACUAGAUUUUCGACCAAGUUGAUAUUGUGAAACUUCGUUAACUUGCUGGAACUGUACAUGAGAACGAACUAAUCUCAUCUACCUAUUAAAGUACUUGGAAGUUAAGUGCUUGUCAACACAAGACUGGAAUUUAUUGCACUUGCAAUAUGUACCACUUUACUGGUUUUUGAGAGUUUACAAUCUAUUUGUCCAGUAAUGGCACUGAAACCAAAAAUCAUUCUAGUUUCGCUAUAGUGAAACUAUUGUGUUGGCUCUUUCCUCUUCCUCAUUCAGUUGUAAUAACACACUGGUUGUAAAAAGUACCGCACCUUUGUUACCUUUUAUAUGUAAAAAUAAGUCUGCUUGUGUGCAUCUCUUUAAUUUGCAACCUUAACUUUGCAGUCUUGUAAUUGGGCAGAUGUCUUAUUUUGUUAUAUCAAGGUGACUAAACAAUCAGCUAUUUGGAUUUUGGAGCAGAACACAAUGUCUGGUUUGGGUAUGCUGGAUAGAUCACAGCUCGUCGACUACUAAGCUCGCCCCCGCUGUUCUGUUGGUGCAUCUCAAUCUGAAAUUGAGGGAAGUAGUGCGAUGUCACCUUUAGGAGGGCCCAUAGUUCCAAAAAUCGCAAACUGUGUACCAACACUAUCAGGUGAGAACACACGGUCCAAAAAGGCCAAUGCUAUUCAUAAAAUUUCAUUUAAAUUUCUUUUGUGAUGCUCAAAUGCUAGUCAUAGGGCUCCAUUUUAAAAAAUUCUUUGUUUACACUAUUAAUCCACAUUAUAAAAUAGUCAUAAACUCCAUUUAAAAAAUUCAAAACCAUUUUGUUUCUCCUUACUAUGUAUGCUUUGUUAUGUGGAUGUAGGAAACUAUUAUGUUGUGUACUUCCUCCGUUUCUAAAUAUAAGCCCUUUUAGAGAUUUAAAUAUGCACUACAUACGGAUGUAUAUAGACAUAUUGAAAAUCUCUAAAAGGUCUUAUAUUUAGGUAUGGAGGGAGUACAUUGGAGUAAGAGUGAAAUGGGACCUCAUCAAACAUACCACUCUUCAUCGAACAUCCUGAUCAUGUGGCUGAGCUAGUUUGUUAGUACAAAUUGUCUGUUUUUUGCCCCUUACAUAAAUGAAUCACCCAUAAAUAGAUAUAAUGUUCGUUCUAGAUAGUAACAAUACCCAAAUGAUUUAGCUGGUUAUAUUGCAUUCGAAUAAUCUUUCCACUCACAUAUUCGAGAGAAUGUUGUAGGAAAUUUCAUCUCCCCCUAUGGCAAAAAUUAUACAUGAUCAAAUUGUUAUUGCAAGUUUAGUGAUGAUAUUAAGUAAAGUGUACAAAUUACAGUUCUCUUUCUGCUAAUGAAAUGGUAUUUUUACUCAUUAGAUUAGCUCAGGAGCAAAUAAUUUAAGUAUAGAUGUGUGAGACUUACACGGUUUUGUGCUCAAACUGAUUCAGACUUUGUUUGGUGUCAUCUUUCCAUCACAUAGACCUCGAUGAGCAAGAAGCACCAGCACCAAAGAUGCUCAUGUCCAAGUGGACAGGUUACGAGGAUAGAGCAAGUCUUGCUUGAUGCCAAAACCCCUGUAACUGAGUGGUAUUUCCACUCUGCUUUGCACUGAGUUUGUAUCAGAGUUGUAGAUCAUGGACCAAUCCUUGCUGAGAAUUGAAUCCAUAAUUAUGUAAUUCUGCAUAUGGUAGUUGUUAACCUGUUGUAUGCAUGUUUCUACUUAUUAAUUCUGCUUGUAAUAAGCAUAGAUUAUUGCCGGAUCUUGGUUGCUUCCCUUCCUGCCAUGCUUUUGCUAUUGGAAAGAAUUAUUGUGUUCCUGCUUAUAAGAGCUACUGUGUUUGGAUGAUGGCUAUUUUAAAAAAAUGGAUGAGGCAUGUUUCUACUUGAGUCACCUUUGUUCAUUUGGUUAAUGAUUUUGCCUGGGAUGAUCCAGUUUGACAUGUACUUGAAUGAGAUAUCUCAAAUUUCAUGUGUAUACAAAUAUUGUAAUAUAUGUUGACAAAUUUUUCAAAGGCUAACAAUUUCAUUUUUCUUGGGUAAUCACUUAUCUAGUAGAAGCCAUUAUGUACUUAGUAUAGUAUGAAAUAGAUAUGUGCAAAGAUAGGGCAACGUCCAGAGGAAUUGGAAACUAGUCUUAUUUACUGAGGAGAAACCAUUGAAUAUGAGAAAGUUGAGGUCAUUACUGUAAAAGUCAUGUUUCAUAUGUACACAUGAUCAGGGGGGUUUCCAUAAAAUGUCCAUUAAGUGGCCUGGGAUGUCUCCGCUCGAGUAUGGGCCAUCCAUUUUGGAUCCGACGGUCCAGAACGAUUUUUUCUAUUUUGUACAACAAGCCUGUUUUCUAUUGUAGUUGCUCCCAGUUGGAUGGGGUGUGGUCUGGUUCAUAUUAGUUGGAGCAAUAUCCAUAACUGAUCUAUUUGUGAGGUUGUUGGCAGAGCGUCUUCUUCGGUUGACAUCUUGCAGAUUAAGUAGCUCCACCCUACAAAAACAAUAUCCAAUUUUUGCACGGGUGCACAGUCAGUAGGAUUAAAUGUCAAUAUUUCUUGUAAAGAUUAAACCCAUCCACCCAGCCAUCAAUCAAACCUGUAGUUUUAUUGGAACAAAAGAAACAUUUACCAAACCAAUACACUGGACGAUUUCCCUGAAUGAAUUAGUAUUUGGAGAUCACUACAUUGCACCAUUCCCAAUAAUCUAAUUAGGCAGCCCUAUCUUCUGGUUCGAAUUCAGAACAAAUCAAGAAGAAAUAUGCAUGAUAAGGAUAAUUCACUGUGUGAAUAAUGUUGUAUAAGUACUCCCUGGUCCCCUUAAAAAGGCCACUUUGAACAUUGAUAGGGUUUUGAGAACAUAACUUUGACCGCGGAUUUUUACAACAAUAAAUUUAUGAAUUCCAAAAAAAUUAAAGUGGUAAAGUACCUUUUGAGACAAAUUCGCACUUGUCAUUUUCAUGUUCUAGUGUUAAAAGGUAUUAGCAGUAAAAAAAUGGAAAGUUUGACUACCUACCAUUGCCAACACAAAUAAACAGCACGUUAUUGACUAAAAUGGCAUGGAAUAAAUCCACUUAGGCUGACUAUUGCGCAAUGACUAACCAUAUAAACCAGGAGGUAACAAACUUCAUGAUCCAGCUGAGCAGCAAAAAAUGCAGAACUAUGCUAUGAUGGAUAUUUGGGCAGAUAACACAGCUACCGAAAUUUCUAAGCUAUUCUGGGUUGCAGAAAAAUUAAGGAUCCAACUCACAGAGCAACAAAUUUAGCAGGUGUUGGACUAAUAACAUGAACUAUUUGCAAGAUAGUUUCAUAUAAAUAAAAAGAAUAUUCAUAUCCAAUUGGUGCUAUUGUCAACCACAUGCAGAAACAAUGGAGAAAACUGAAGAACCAAAAAAAAAA
rnacentral:lncRNA from 1 species